rnacentral:lncRNA from 1 species
GUCCUAGUCAAAACUGAUUAAAUUCGGACUCAUAUAAUCCCAAUGGAUCUCAUAUUAACCGAGAAAUUUUGGGACCAAUAAUUAUAAUUUAAAUCCACAAUAGGCCCAUUCAUGAAUGUGAGUUGGUGGGCCUCAUAAAAGCCCUUUAAAAUUUUAGACCUGUAUAAUAAUUCGGGCCUCAUUUCAGCCCAUUAAAUAUUAUCAUUUGUGCCCAACAAAUUUUAUUAAAGUGGGCCCGAUCAAUGACGGCUCAUAUCCACACCCUAGAAAAUAUCUGUUAUUCUAACAACCCCAUUCGAAAUUCGAUUUCAAAUAACAACCAAUUCAAAAUUCGAUUUCGAAUUUCGAAUUUCCAACCGACUCCUAAAAUAUCUUCCAACCAACCAUAACAACCGAUUCAAAAUUCGAUUUCGAAUUUCAAAUUUCCAACCAACUCCCAAAAACCUUCCAACAAACUACAACCGAUUCAAAAUUCGAUUUCGAAUUUUGAAUUCCCAACCAACUCCCAAAAUAUCUUCCAACCAACCACAACAAUCGAUUCAAAAUUCAAUUUUGAAUUUUGAAUCCCCAACCAACUUCCAAAAUAUCUCCCAACCAACCACAUCCAUUCGAAUUUUGAAUACCUAUCCAUCCAACAACCGAUUCAAAAUUCGAUUCGAAAUUCAAAUUCCCAACCAACUCCCAAAAUAUCUCUCAAUCAACCUGUAGGAUACCGAACUUAUAAAAAUAUGAAGUUGCGGGGUAUGUUGGUUUGGAAAGCCAUUAGAAUGAUUCCGGUGAAGUUCGGAAGCAUUCGGGCGUUUUCGGAGCGCGUAGGCGUGAAAACGGGACCCGAAAGGCUAUGUCGGACCAUGGACUAAAUCCAGCAUUAGCGUGGAUGAAAAGAUGAUGAAAAUACGCUCGAAAACAUGUUUGAAGAGUCUCGGUUCGAUUUGAAAAGAAUCGGAGGUCAAACGAGCAAAAACGAGAGAAAACGGAUCCCGAAAACGAAAAAGGCUGAAAUUUGGCUAAGUCCUAAAAAUGCUAGAAUUCUGGACCUUCGGGGAUCGGUCUCUCACUGCUAGGGACCGGUCCCCUAUACAAAAAUUGGCCCCGCGCGGGUAGUGCAGGAAACAUGAAGUUGAGGGGCUGUUUUGCAACUGUUGCACGAAUUGAGCUAUUAGAGAGGGGUAGAACUUAUCCCCUCUCAUUUCUCUCAUUUGCAAUCACCCAAAACACCCUCUCUCUCUAGAAGCUCUUCCUCUCUCUCUAGAAGUGGAAUCAAGAGGAGGAUUGGUGGAGAUUUUGGAGCUAGAAGAAGGAGCUUCAUCAUCUUCUUCAUCUUCUUCCUCCAUUUGCUUGGGGAAAAGCUUAGUAGAGAUAAGUUUUUGAACCACUCUCAUGGUGAAUGAUUUGGAUUAGGUUCAAAUACAUUAGAAAUGGAAUUUGUUGAUGCUCUAGAAGUAGUUAAUCUUAUUUAUUGUAAGAAAUGAUGCUAUAUGAAGUUUAUUGCAACAAUGGUGAUUUAGGGUAUCCAAAAGAGGGCUUUUGCUCAUGAGGGGUUUUGAUCUAAAUUAACCUCUCUCUAACCUAAUUGCUAGGUCUACGAACGCAACGGUGCACUCGGUUCGGCGAUCCGACGAGUGUACGCAGAGAUAUUGAGGAUCGAAGCCGUUAAGAUACAGAUUGCCGCAGCUCGCGGCGUAAGCUUCCAAAAAUCAUGAAAAUGGAAUCGUAGCAUCGUGGUAUCGGAGAAUAAACUCCAGAAUAGACGGAUCGCGGAUUGGUGGCCGUUCGGGUGGUCGCGCAAGAGUUUGGCCCGAACCGGAUCACGGGUGCCGCGGGAGGCCGAUUGCAAGUGACGACGAGCAAUCGGAAUGCGAUAAAAGGUGGGGGGUGUCCAUCCCGAAGUAACUGAGCUUCCUUUUAUGUCUAAGUUCUAUAUUUUGAUCAUAUUCCUAUAUGUUGAUAUAUUGUGCAUUAUAGGAUUAGUAGAUGAUUACAUUUCCAUUCCUUGCAUGUUACCUAGGUUGUGUAGCAUUGUGGGCUUGACACUUGAUCUUAGGUUGCAUGAGGAUUGGGUCUUGUGACAAGAAUCCUAUAGUGACAAGAAUGAUGAUGAACUUGGACAUGUAAUUGGCCUAGACGAGUGGCAUUUGGACUAGUGUAAUAAAGACACUAUAAUAUUGACGAGUGGCAUGUCGAUUUUGUGUAUUAAAACACAUAUAACAUCAUGACAUAAACGAGUGGCAUCAAAUCUAGUGUAGUGGAACACUAUGGCAUUUGAACCUAGGGAUAGUAGAUUUUUUCGAUUGUCAUGUUGUAGACAUUAUGUAUUUGGCAUUAGUGCAUUUGAGGCAUUCAUUAUGCAUUUGGUAUUGUGCAGCAGAGGCAUAUUGACCCUGGUAGAUAGGGUAUCCUCUUGUGAGGAUUGGAUCAUACUCACUAGUCUGUUUUUGCUUGUUAGUGGUCGCUCCACCGAGGCACGAGUCUUCGGAGUACUUCACUAGGGGCAAACGUAGUUGUCCCGCAGACGGUCUCGGUGUGCGAGUGCAGCUUCUCCUCACCUAUGAGAUUGAGAGUGAGUCGAGAGCGUAACCUUUGGGUUAGCCAAGCAGAUUGGGUAAAGAAUAUGAAUGGCAUAGCAGAUUUGCAUUCAUACCUUGAGUUGACAUUGAAACAUAGUAGCAUGCGUAGAGACAUCACUAUGUAGUAGCUUAUUUCCUUAUUGUUGAGACAUAGUAGCAUGUUGUAGAUACAUCACUAUGUGGUAGCUCAUUUCCUUAUUGUUGAGACAUAAUAGCUGUGUAGAGACAUCACUAUGUAGUAGCUCAUUUUCUUAUUGUUGAGACAUAGUAGCAUGUUGUAGAUACAUUACUAUGUGGUAGCUCAUUUUCUUAUUGUUGAGACAUAGUAGCAUGUGUAGAUACAUCACUAUGUAGUAGCUUAUUUUCUUAUUGUUGAGACAUAGUAGCAUGUUGUAGAUACAUCACUGUGUUAGUAGCUUAUUUCCAAGCAGAUUGGGUAAAGAAUAUGAAUGGCAGAGCAGAUUUGCAUUCAUACUUUGAGUUGACAUUGAGACAUAGUACCAUGCGUAGAGACAUCACUAUGUAGUAGCUCAUUUCCUUAUUGUUGAGACAUAGUAGCAUGUCUAGAGACAUCACUAUGUAGUAGCUCAUUUCCUUAUUGUUGAGACAUAGUAGCAUGUUGUAGAUACAUCACUAUGUAGUAGCUCAUUUUCUUAUUGUUGAGACAUAGUAGCAUGUUGUAGAUACAUCACUAUGUAGUAGCUCAUUUCCAUUAUUGUUGAAGUAUAGUAUCAUGAUUAGUAGAAUAUCAUUGCUAUGUUCAUAUAUUCCAUGAUUACAGAGGCAUAGUAGCAUGUGUAUAUUCCAUUACUAUGUAGCAGCUCUUUUCAUAUCUACCUAUCUAUCUGUUGCUUAUACCUACUUAGACCUAGUGGGAAGAUCGGCGGAGUCGGCGGCCAAACCCACUGGGAACUAUAUUUAUAUAGUUCUCACCCCACUUUGUUGCAGGGCAUAGCGAGAGCGUACCGGCAGAGAACCGUGGUAAGGGCAUAGCGCCCUAGUAGCUAGUAGCUUUCUUUAUGCAUUAGAGUACCGUCGUGUACAUAGAGAUGUAAAUGUAUUUGGAAGUUACUUAUGUAUUUGGAGAGCUAUUUUGUAUUAUGAGAAGAAUAUGUAUUUAUUUGGAAAGAUGAAAAUGUAAAUCAAUAUGAAAAAUGAGGUUGAAUGAAUGUAAUAGCUAGAUGUAUCUCUCUUUAUUUCACUUGUAUGUUACUUGUGAUUCUUGCUCUUAAUUGUAUAGCACUAGUGGUGCUUCGUCGUAUCAUGUAUGUUGAAUAAAUUUUUCCUGGGCAAAUUCUUGUACAUGAUAUUGUCGUUGAGCCUUGGGCGGACAGGGGAGGUGUUGUCCGUUCGGCGUCUGAUCGACGUGCCCGGAUCUGGCCAAAUUGGCGGGUCGCGGGGCGUGACACAACCACAUCCAUUCGAAUUUUGAAUAUCUAUCCAUCCAACAACCAAUUCAAAAUUUGAUUUCGAAUUUCGAAUCCCUAAAGGUGUGUUUGGUUCCACGUAAAACUGUGGAAAAAAAAAUUUUGGUGGAAAAAAAAUUUUCGGUGGAAAAAAGUUUUACGUUGUUUGUGUUUGGUUCGUAGGAAAAGAAAAGUAGUUUUCUAUGACAGUUGUUUGGUUGAAAGGAAAAGAAAAGCAGAUGGAAUUAAAACUAUUUAAUAUAUUUUUUAUUAUAUAUAUUAUUAAUAUAUUAUAAUUAUUAUAUAUAUUUUCUCUAAUUAUAUAUAUUACAUAUUAUUAAUAUAUAAUAAUUAUCAUAAUAUAUUUAAUUAUUCUAAUUUAUAUUUAUAAACAAAAUAUAUUUAAAAUAUAUUAUAUAAUAAAUAUAUAUAAUAUAUAAUAAUAUAUUUAAUAUUAUAAAAUAAAUUAUUAUAUAUUUAUAAAUAAAAUUAUAUAUAUAUAUAUAAUAUAUUAUAUUAUAAUAUAAAUAUAUAUUAAAUAUACAAUCAAAGAAGGAGAGCGAGGGAUCUACUGCGCUCUCUCUCUCUCAACUAACAGGCGGUCCCACGAAGGUAUUCUCACUCGUGACCCGCGCACAAAGAAUCCUAUAACCCCGCACAUUUUCCUACGUUACGUUUAUCAUUCCGCUCUUGCGGACCCGAAAAACGAAAGCCCCCCAAAUUCUUCAGCGUAUUCGUAAAAAAUAAUUUUCGGAGAAAUUUUUUAAGAAGAACCAAACAUCAGAAAAUAGAUAAUUUCAACUGAAAAUAAUUCUGAGUACUUUUACAGCAAACCAAACACCCCCUAACUGACUCCUCAAAAUAUCUCUUGCCGCCCCUUCUAUUAUAAAUAUGAGAAUAGAAAUCAAUAUGGGAGACGAUACGACAAAGGAGGAGAGAACAAAUAGAUAGAGAGAGACAAUAGAGAGAUUACGAUAAAAAAAGGAGAGAUAAUAUUAUUUUCACUCUUGCUACACGCGUUCCCACAUAAAAAAAAAUUCAAAGGAGGAGAGAUCGCCAAGCCGCGGAAAGGAGGAGAGAUCGCCGAGACGCGAAAAAGAGGAGAGAUUGCCGAGCCACUUCAUCCAAUCCACCAUCUGAUCAACAAGUAAAAAAAAAAAGAAAAAAGAAAAAAAUAUAAUAAAACAUAUAAAAAAAAAAUCUCUUUCCUCCCCCAUUUUUUUCUUUUUUUUUAGAUCCUGUUAUCGUAGUCAUCCAUACCAUUUAGACAACUUCGAUGGGAGAGUGGAGGGGAGCUAAUGUCUUAUCGUUUCUUCGGACUUCUCGAUAUCCCAUUCGAAGCUGUUAAUUGAUGGGAUGGAUGAUUUACAUUGCCGUGACCAUCUCCAGCAUCGCCGGUUCGGUAUUUUCGAAAGAAGAGGGGAGGGGAAUCUUCGAUUCCUCGUUUCUUCGGACCCUUCAACAUGUUUUGAAAAUAUCGAACCAAAUCAGCCGGUUGAACAGAUCCGAGCCACCGUCAUCAUCUUCACCGACGUCACCUCCAGCAUCGCCGGUUUGAUAUUUCCGAAAGAAAAGGGGAGGGGAAUUCUCGAUUCUCUGUUUCUUCGGACCCUUCAACAUCUUUCGGAAAUAUCGAACCAAAUCCGCCGGCCACCGUCAUCAUCUUCGCCGUCGUCAUCUUCAACCUUACCGGUUCAGUGUUUUCGAAAGAAGAGAGGAGGGGAAUCAAAGUUUCCCAUUUCUUCGGACCCUUCAAUCCCUUUCGAGAACAUUGAAUCAGUACACAAAAUUCUCAAACUGGUUCAGAUUCAAUCCAAAUCAAGAUCAAAACGGGGAUUUCUCCAGACCCCAAAUCAAGAUCAAAAUGGGGAUUUCUUCGGACCCCAAAUCAUAAAUCAAACGGGGAUUUCUUCGGACCCCAAAUCAGAAUCAAAGCGGAGAUUUUUUCGGACCUCAAAUCAGAACCAAAACGGGAAUUUCUUCAGACCCCAAAUCGAGAUCAAAACGAGAAUUUCUUCGGACCCCAAAUCAAGUUGCAAAAUCAAAAAGAAAUUUCUUCAGACCCUAAAUUAAAUUAGAAUCAAAAGGGGAUUUCUUCGGGCCCCAAAUCAAAUUAGAAUAAAAAAGGAGAUUUCUUCGGACCCCAAAUCGAAUUGCAAAAUCAAAAGGGGAUUUCUUCGGACCCCAAAUCAAGUUGCAAAAUCAAAAGGUGAUUUCUUCGGACCCCAAAUCAAAUUGCAAAUUCAAAAGGGAAUUUCUUCGGACCCUAAAUCGAAUUGCAAAAUCAAAAGUGGAUUUCCUCGCACCCAAAAUAGAAUUGAAAAAAAAACCAAGUUCACAUAAGAACCUAAAUCCGGACUCAAAUCCAAACCAAGUCCACAAAUAAAAUCCAAACCCAACCCAAGCCAAGUCCACAUAAGAACCCAAACUCGGACUCAAAUCCAAACCAAGUCCACAAAUAAAAUCAAAAUUUGAACCUAAACCCAAAUCAAAUCAAGUCCACUAACAAAGCCGAAACUUGAACCCAAAUCCAAAUCAAGUCCACAAAUAAAAUCCAAACCCAAACCCAAAACUCAAAUUUAAACCCAAACCCAAAACCCAAAUCAAAUCUAAACCCAAAUCCAAACCAAAUCAAGUCCACAAAUAAACCCAAACCAAGUCCACAAAUAAAACCCAAGCCAAGUCCACAUAAGGGCCCAAAUCCGAAUCAAAUCCACUAACAAAGCCGAAACUUGAAACCGAAAUCAAAUCAAGUCCACAAAUAAAAUCUAAACCCAAACCCAAAACUCAAAUCUAAACCCAAACCCAAAUCAAAUCCAAUCAAAAUCCGAAACCCAAACCUAAAACCAAAACCAUAAUCCAAACCAAGUCCACAAAUAAAAAAACCUAAACCUAAACCCAUAAAACCCAAAUCCAACCCAAGUCCACAAAUAAAAAACUCCAAACCAAAACCUAAACCCAAAAAACCCAAAACCAAACUAAGUCCACAAAUAAAACUUGAACCUGAAUCCAAAUCCAUAAACCUAACCUCAUGAACCAUAUACCAAGUUCAUGAACCACGAACCAUAUCCAUGAACCUUACCCAAGUUCGUGAACCAAAUCUCAUGAACCAUACCCAAGUUCAUAAAUAAAGUCUCAUACACCAAAUCCCUAAACCAUACGCCAAAUCCAUGAACCAUACACCAUAUCCCGUGGACCAUACCCAGAUUCAUGAACCAAGUCACAUGAACCAUAAACCAAACCUCAUAAAUCAUACACCAAGUUCAUGAAUCAUAAACUAAGUUCAUGAACCAUACCCUAUGAACCAUGAACUAAAUCCCAUGAACCAUAAACCAAGUUCAUGAACUAUAAACCAUAUCCAUAAACCAUACACCAAUCCAUGAACCAUACACCAUAUCCCAUGAACCAUACCCAAGUUCAUGAACCAUGAACCAAGUCCAUAAACUAAGUCCAUAAUCCAAAUUCAUGAACCAUAUCCAAGUUCAUGAACCAAAUUCCAUACACCAAGCCGAAUGGACCAUAUCCAAGUUCAUGAAACAAAUCCAAUAACCGAACACCAUGAACCAUACCCAAGUUCAUGACUCAAGUCUCAUGUUCAUGAACCAUAAACCAAACCUCAUGAACCAUACCCAAGUUCAUGAACCAUAAACCAAACUUCAUGACCAUACAUCAAGUUCAUGAACCCAAUCCCAUAAACCAUACCCAAGUUCAUGAACUAAAUAUCAUGAACCAUACAUCAAACCCUAUGAGUCAUAAAACUCAUGAACCAUACAUCACAUCCCAUGAACCAAAUCUCAUACAUCCCAUGAACCAAAUCCCAUACACCAAACCCAAUGGACCAUAUCCAAGUUCAUGAAACAAAUCCAAUAAACGAACACCAUGAACCAUACCCAAGUUCAUGACUCAAGUCUCAUGUUCAUGAACUAGAAACCAAACCUCAUGAACCAUACCCAAGUUCAUGAACCAAAUCUUAUGAGCCAUAAACCAAACCCCAUAAACCAAACCAUACCAAGUUCAUCAUAAACCUCUUUACUCUAGUAUAUAUACCUAGAGUAAAAAUCAAAUAUCGACUACCCCUAAUACAUGUACUUAGGGUUUAGUCAACCCCAUCCGCCUUAGCACACAUACUAAGGUAAAACAUCUCCAAAUCGACAGAGUUAUAAAUUAUAUAUUUAGAAUUUAGUCAAAUGAUAUCAAAUUUAUUCGAACUCUAACACAUAUACUUAGAAUUCAUUCGACUAACCCUUAACACAUAUCCUUUAGGGUCCAGUCAACCUUUUGCUCUAGCACAUAUACCUAGAGUGGAAGUCAAACCAAGCUUGAUUAGUCCUAACACGUACACUUAGGGUGUAGCACACUGGACCUUUGCAAAUUGCGAGGUUUGAGUGAUUGGAUAUGUCCUAAGCUUUUCCAGACUUUCUGGUGGGUCGUUGACAGUAUUCCGACCUAUAGUUCGAACCCCGAGAACUGAGGUUUAAAGCCUAGCACCAAAACCCGAAAAAUCAGAUUUUUGGUUAGCUCUCGAGUAGCCUUCAGAGGGCUGUGUACUGGUACGGGGUGAUGGCUAUACCAGUAUAGCCAUCAACAUUGGCUGCUUCUCAGCCAACCCGAGGCUCGGGUUUGGCUAUUUCGUAGGAUGUGUACCGGUACGUGGGCCCGUGUACCGGUAUGCAGUGACAGAUUUUGAAUGGUCAAAACUGCAGGAGUGUUUUUGCAUUGUGGCUUCUCUAUAUUAGCACCCACGCCCCUAGGGCUUUUUUCUGAGCUUGCCACAGCAGGGGUAGAGGUAAGGGAGCCCUCAUUGAUUUUCCUUUGAUUAUUCUUGGAUUUUGGUAGGAUUUUAAGAGAUUAAACUUCUCUUUUUGCUCUUUGGUGCAACUUCACCAUUGUUGAAGCUUGAAGCUUGGAUUUGGAGCCUUGUUCAGGGAAGAUCUUUGAUGUUAGAGAACUUAGAGCCUAGAUUAAAGCUUCUAAGAGGUAAGCAACUUGUUCUCUCCCUCUAGGUUUGAUUUUUAUUGAUGGUUUUGAGAUGAAACCCUAGAAUGAGGUUUUAGGGUUAAUUUUGGGCAUUUUUAAUCUAGGACUUUUGGGGCUAAAUUAGUUGGAUUAGAACCCUCCUUUGGGUUGGAUUGGAAGGAUCCUAGCCUUCUUUUAGAGCUUGUGGGAGUUUUCUUUACCCUAGGUGAGAUUUUAGCUCUUUUGCCUUGAUGGUUAAUGUUUGAUCUCAUGGUUGAUCGUAAUGCCCGUUAAUCUCUUCGCUCAUUAGUUUUAGGGUAUUUUGAGACUCGUGGACAACUCCGUUCGGCGAAACGAGGGAUUACGCGGCGGUUCGGUGGGUUUGACCUAGCCACACAAUGAGAAAAUCUCAUUUGUGAUGAUUUGAGUAUCGUUAAAUGAUAAAACAUGCGUAAUCAUGUUAGAUAUAUUUAUUAUGAAUUUUAGAAUGCUUAACAUGCCUAUGUAAUGUAUAGUAAAUUUUUAGACCUCUAUGUGGUAGAGUGCAUGCAUGUGAGAUAUAGCAUUCUAGUCGAGACUUGGAACCAUGAUUCCUAUUAUGGAAAUGAACAUUGCUUUUAUGCAUUUAACCUUUUUGCCCAAUUGUGACAUUAGAGACUUUAGAAGCCUAGAGAGGCUUGGGGAGUUAGACUAUUUGAGAAAUUGGGCCAAUGUCAUAAAGAGGCAUUGGGCCCGGGCUAUAGUGAAUAUUGGUAUUUAUGUUUUAAUUGGAACAUAGAAUAUGAAUUGGGCUUGAUUAGUUGUGAUGCUUAAGUGUCAUAAAGAGACACUAAGCAAGUGAGUGUUGGGAUAUCACAUUGUGACAUAGAGCUAGACCGUUUGGUUACUAGUAGCUAUUGCCAUGUUUGAGAUAUGAGGGUUGGAUACUUGAGCCUUAACUAUGCUUGCUUGCCAUUUGUGCUUAUUCGCACAUGCUUGUGAGGGUCGCUCUCUACAAGCCGGCACUCCGGAGUUAGCCUACGCCACCUAUGUUCGCUCGUGCGGUAUUGAGAAGCCUACGGAUGUAAGAUGUGGAUCCCGAGAAUCUAAAAGGUAAAAGACACCUAGAGGGGGGUGAAUAGGUGUAAACGGUAAAAAUUACUAAACUCGAUGCAAAUUCAAAAUAUAAUGCGGAAAAUAAAAUCAGCACACCGAGAAUUAACAUGGAAAAACUCCAAACCGGAGAGAAAAACCCACGGGACCGAUCACACAAAGAAAUCCACUAAGAAAACAUGAGUACAAGUGAUUUAGCAAAAAUACAAGACUCAAAAUACCGAAUCCUUGUUGUAGAUUAUCUUUACCAGUCCUCGAUCGCUUGGAAUCCUCUAACCGAUCACACUGCAAAUCCUUGCAGCCGCACACGCCUCGAUUCCUCGAAACGCCCACCGAAUCCACGGUCUUCACGUGUUACCCACGCGCUAACGCUCCAUUCAAAGCUCGCAGGGAUUUAACAAUUUGUAGGUAUUGAAACUCUUUGAAAGCACAGAUAAUAUGAGGAGAAAUCCAAAUCAAAACAUCACCAAUUUGAUCCUUAAAAAAAUUUUGAAUCAAAACGAAGAAUCAAAUCGGUGAUCUAAAGCUUGAUGUUUAAAAAACAUAGAUCAAAACUCCGAAUCAAGCCGUUAGGGUUUCUAAAAGGUUAUCUCGCUCAAUACAUCACAUAUGGAGAUCCUCAUAUCAUAUUUAUGUUAAGGAUUUUAUAAGUUGGCGAAUUUCGUGAAGGGUUUGGACGGAGUCUCGAAGAAUUAGAAGAUGAAGAUUGACGAAAAGAAUUGAAGUUCUUAUGAUCAAAGACCCUUGAGAACUCAGGUAUGAUUAUAAAUAAUUUGUGGUGAAGUUUUCAUUGUUAAAAGAUGUUUAGAAGACUUGGUUUCCUUUUUGUUUAUUUCAACUUAAGUUUUCUGGAAAAACUCAGGGGUCGGGGAUCGGUCCUUGAUCAGAGGGACCGGACCCAUCAAGCUUCUCUGUGUAGAAGGUUUGGGAGACCGGUCUCUGAUCAUGAGGACCGGUCCCCAUACGUGGUUUUUUCUUGUUGCGCAGGGAAGGACCGGUCUCUGAAUUGAGGACCGGUCCCCGUACGCAUAUUUUGACAUCUACGCAGCGAAAGACCGGACCUCACCUUGGAGGACCGGUCUCCCAAGGACCGGUCUCCUCGAGAGGACCGGACCCUGAGACCGUCGUCUGUUUUUAAAAUUGAGUUUUUAGAAUCCUAGUCUAUCUAGAAGUCUUCUAAACCUAUAAAUAUGAUAUGAGGAUCUCCAUAUGACGUGUGUUGAGCGAGAUAAUCUUUUAGAAACCCUAACGGCUUGAUUUGAGUUUUUGAUCCAUGUUUCUCAAUAUCGAGUUUUAGAUCACCGUUUUGAUUCUUCAGUUUUUGAUUCAAAUUUUCUUUAAGGAUCAAAUUGGUGAUGUUCUGAUUUGGAUUUCUCCUCAUAUCAUAUGUGCUUUCAAAGAGUUUAAAUCACCACAAAUUGUUAAAUCUCUACGAGCUUCGGAUGGAGCGUUAACGCGUGGAUCUCGCGUGAAGACCGUGGAUUCGGUAGGCGUUUCGUGGAGUCGAGGCGUGUGUGGCUGCAAGGAUUUGCAGUGUGAUCGGUUGGAGGAUUUCAAGCGAUCGAGGACUGGCAAAGAUGUUCUACAACGAGAAUUCGGUAUUUCGAGUCUUGUAUUUUUGAUAAAUCACUUGUACUCAUGUUUUCUUAGUGGAUUUCUUUGUGUGAUCGGUCCCGUGGGUUUUUCUCUCCGAUUUGGAGUUUUCCCACGUUAAUUCUCGGUGUGCUGAUUUUAUUUUUCAGCUUUUUAUUUUAAAUUUGCAUUGAGUUUCGAGAUUGUUGCUGUUUACACCUAUUCACCCCCCUCUAGGUGUCUUUUACCUUUUAGAUCCUAGGGAUCCAUAUCUUACAAUUUAUAUGUUUAGAAGACUUCUAGAUAGACUAGGAUUUCAAAAACUCAAUUUUAAAAAGAGACGACGGUCUCAGGGUCCGGUCCUCCCGAGGAGACCGGUCCUUGGGAGACCGGUCCUCCAAGAUGAGGUCCGGUCUUUCACUGCGUAGAUGUCAAAAUAUGCGUACAGGGACCGGUCCUCAAUACAGAAACCGGUCCUUCCCUGCGCAACAAGGAAAACCACGUACGGGAACCGGUCCUCAAGAUUAGAGACCGGUCUCUCAAACCUUCUACGCAGAGAAGCUUGAUGGGUCCGGUCCUUCUGAUCAAGGACCGGUCCCCGACCCCUGAGUUUUUUAGAAAACUUAAGUUUGAACAACUCAAAUAUAAAUCAAGUCUUCUAAACAUCUUUUAACAAUAAAAACUUCACCACAAAUUAUUUAUAUUCAUACCUGAGAUCCCAAGGGUCUUUGAUCACAAAACUUCAAUUCUUUCUUCAAUCUUCAUCUUCUAAUUCUUCGAGACUCCGUCCAAUACUUCACGAAAUUCGCCAACUUAUAAAAUCCUUAACAAUCUCCCCCUUUGGCGAUUUCGUGAUAAGAUACAAAAAAAUAUUACACUGUUCAUCCAAAAAAUAAAAUAAGAAGGUUAUUGCAAUCACCAAACAACAACCAUCUGCAUGAUCGAUCCAAUAUAAACAAAAUUACAUUUUUCACAUCCUAAUCCAAACUCUAUGACUUAGGACACGACAUAGAGUCUUGAAGUCUUGAAAUAUCCUGCAAAACAAUCUCCACACACCAUCAAAAUUUGCAAUGAAUUCAGUUAUAAGUCAAGAGUUGAGCAUUAGUUACAUAGUUCAUCAUAUCCUAAGCAACUUUAUCAAACAAGCAAAGUUUAAGCAUAAGCCAAACGAAAUGCAAAGCAAAAUAAGUAAAGCACAUAAAGCAAAGCAAAGUUCCAGCAUCAUCAUGUUCCAGCAUCAUCAUCAUCAUUCUCCCCCUUGUUGUCAAGAAAACGCCAAAACGACCAAAAGGAGGGAACGCCAAAACGAGCUCAGUCGGAAUCAGCACCAGGCGCAGGAAGAUCCGCGCUACAACACCCUAGUUUGUCAAAGAUAGCUCUCAUCAGGCGACGAAGCUUGCUCACUUGCCGAGUGAGGCGUUCCUGUUCUGCAACCAUGCGAGCCUGAUCCUCAGAAAUCCGUCGAAGUUCGCCCGAAAUCCGUUCUUGCUCUAGAGAUAACCUUUGUUGUUCCCAAUAAACAGAAGAGACGGACAUUUCUCCCUCAGACACCUCUGCAGAAGGACGAGAAGGACCAGGAGGUGGAGUGGAACGCUGUUGAGACGAACGUCGUGGAGGAGAGCGCUGCGACUGAAGCUGCACCGAAGAUUUAAUGAACGUAGUCUCACUAAUCACGCCCAGACUAUGUUCAUAUGACGAACAUCGCGUGUCCACAUCAAACAUCCGUAGAAUCCUCAUUAUGAUUAACUGAUAAGGCAACCUCUCUCUGGCUGACUUGAAGUCUUGAUGUCUUUAGCCAUACGGCGCCAAACCAAAAAUGGAACAUUAAGAUUGAUCUUCCUAUCACGAACCACAUUUGGCUGACCCACCAAAUACAUAUAAAGCAUGCGAUCCCAACGCACCACCUUCGUGUUAGCCAACGGCAUUAUAUUGUAGCAGACCACAAAAUUCAAGAAACGAUACUCUAUCUUUAAUUCCUUCGAUAUCACACAAAUGCCAUUUGGUUCAACGUUAGGCAAACAUACGCCAUUCAUAACCAGACGCCAAUCUCGAACUGCAUCAAAACCAGCAUGCAAAUAUUCAAUUCCAUCAGUUCGAGCCUGCAUACCAAGAACAGCAGCAAUAGUUUCAGGCGUAAUUGUCAACUCGAUGCCACGCACAUAGGUCUUAAAGACGAACGGUCCACCAUCGAAAUCCUCUAGAUAGCCCGCUCUCAUAUAGAACUCCCGAAUUAAUUCCAAACAAUAUCCAGUUUGUUCGGGAAAAUCGCUAAUUUCAUAAAGACCUCCGUUCUCAAACAAGGCUUGAAGACCAAGAACGUGUUCAAUUAAGUUUUGAACUCCAACGUGGCGCUCACCAAUACAAUUCUUCGAAGAGUACAUAGAACGUCUCUUCGGAUCAACGUUGCCUCCCUGAGUACUGCGGCAAGGUAAAUCAGCGGUAGGUUCACGAAUGUCAAUACCUCCAGUCUUCUUCUUACUACGAGAGUAUGUCAAUUUUUCCGGUCCUUUUGCUUUGGCUUUGCUCUGUCCUUUCUCCCUUUCUGUAACAACCUUUUCCUUCCCUUUCUUCUUCGUCGACAACACUUCCGGAGAGAGUGCUUCCCAAUCCGUCGACUCAGUUUCCGAUUCUUCAUCAGGAGCAUAUUCACUGCCGACAUCCUCAACUGGUGGCUCAGCAGGUUGUUGAGUCGAAGUACGCUGGCGCUUACCACCACGACCACCACCAGCCAUGAGGAACACAAGAGAAAACAAAAAGGAAUACAUUAUUGUUUUCGAAAGAGAUCCCUGUUUCAACAAGUUAAAAAUAAAAGACAGAUAUCAUUCAUUAUUUUUUUUUAAAAAAAAAACAGGAAAAUCUGAUGAAAUCUAGGGCCAUAUGAGAAAAAAAAAUAAUGCAACAAGAGAGUGAAGUAAUGCAUGAAGAAAUCGAGGAUCACAAUGAUAUCACUCAGACCAAUUAUUAUAUACAAGUUACCUAACAAAAUCACAGAUCAAAUCCCAAUCAAAACACAUUCUCGGAAUAAAUAUGCAAAAAUAAUCCCUAAAACGAAAAUGUACCAACCAAAAUCCAGAAAAUCAGGAAGAAGCAGAGCAAACACCCUCUGGAACCCUAGACCGGUCGUGGGAAGAGUUUAGACAAAAAGGUAAAGUAAGAGAGAGACCGGACCAACAUUCAUAUAUAGGGUCGGGCGGAGGGACCGGUCCUUCAAGACAGGAGACCGGUCCCCGUACAAAAAUAAAUCUUCCCCCCCUUUUUUUUUAUUUUAAAAAAAAUUGAGGUUCCAAUGACAUGUAAUAUAAAAUUGAUAAAUAUGGAAAACAAAGUCAAUUUCAAAAAUAUUCAAAGUGUCAAGAUUCGUUGAACAAAUAAUGCUAAAAUCCACACAUCAAUCAAGAUCUAAAAAUUAAUCGUCUCGUAUUGUCUUCAUAAUUGCUAAACAGAGGAAUAGAAGAUCCCAUAAUCACGAAAUUAAGAUAAGAUGAUCAAAUUGAGUUAUGCACAAGAUUCGACGAGGGAGUGGCUCUUUGAGCAUCCUUUCAUUAUCCACCUUAUAUCACCUAGGAGAUGUAUUGUAAGUUACUCAUGUUUUAUCAUCUCCAAAGCACCUCUUCUAAAAUUUUUUUAAUAGAUAUAUAUCACAGGACAUCCUUAGAUAUAUUUAGCUUCAUUAUCAACAGAGAUGCUGUAAACAGACAUGUGGUGGCUGCACACACUUACCGGACGACCGGAGUGGUAGCUCUUUCCUCCAUGUGGUGGUAGUUUUCACACUCCCAUGAGGGAUGUAACUCUUUCCACAUCUUGUUUUUUUUCAUUCUAAUUCAAUUCUAGGAAAGACUCCCCCUAAAUAAGUGCAACCCUCAAGUUGACGAUAUUAUCACAAGUUCAAAAAUAGGAAAAUCUGUAUUCAUAUCAAAGUUCAUAAUCCAACAAGACAAAGACAAUGUUUAAAGUUCAAAGAAGGAGAUGUUGACUUUAGCAAAUUAUACUAAAAUAGAAUUUGAAUGAAUCUAUCUUGUAAACAAAAUAUGACACAAAGAAUAAAAAUGACGUUGAUCAAGCUGAACAUAUUAUAACAUAAUGAAAAUAGUGUCAUGGAUAGCUCAAAAAUGAUCAUGUAAGAACGACAUGUAUGCAAAAGAGGUUGUGCAAGAUCUAUGGCCCAUAGACUACAUCUAGACUGACGGAUUCAUACCAAUAGUUUUCGCAAAUGCAGAAAACGUUUUUGAUCUAAAGGUUUUGUCAAAAUAUCAGCAAGCUGAUUUUCAGUAGAAAUAUAUUCAAGAUGAAGAAGAUUUGAUUCGACUAGUUCCCUUAAAAAAUGAUAUCUGAGUUCAAUGUAUUUUGUUCGAGGAUGUAAAACAGGGUUUUUAGAAAUAUUAAUUGCACUUGUGUUAUCACAAAGAAUAAUAAGAGUGGUGGAUGGGAUCCGAUAGUCGCUUAGUAAGCUCUUCAUCCAUAACAACUGAGUAGAGCAACUACCAGCAGAAAUAUACUCAGCUUCGGCAGUGGAUAGUGCAAUACAGUUCUGUUUCUUGCUGUGCCAAUCGACAAGACAAUGUCCAAGAUAGAAACACGCUCCACUAGUACUUUUCCGAUCAUCGGCAGAUCCAGCCCAGUCUGCAUCCGAGUAUCCAAUCAGAUCAAGAGAUGUUCCCAUAGGAUACAAGAGACCAUAAGCGGUUGUACCUUUAACGUAUCGAAUAAUCCUUUUGAUCGCUUUUAGAUGAAUUUCCUUAGGAUUUGCUUGAUAGCGAGAACAAAUGCCAACACUGAAGGCAAUAUCUGGUCUACUUGCAGUCAAGUACAACAGGCUCCCGAUCAUGCUUCUGUAUAAUUUCUCAUCCACGCUAGGUCCUUCCGAAUUCAAUCCAAGUCCUUUGUUACUUGCACCCAUUGGAGUGUCAAAAUCCUUUGCGUUGUCCAAUCCAAAUUUCUUAACCAAAUCUUUCGCAUAUUUGGAUUGACACAAGUGUAUUCCAUCUUUAGUUUGUUUGACUUGAAGUCCAAGAAAAUAGUUAAGCUCCCCCAUCAUUGACAUCUCAAAUUCGCUCGUCAUCAACUUUGUAAAAUCAUUGGCAUCCUUAUCCUUAGUUGCUCCAAAGACGAUGUCGUCAACAUAAAUUUGUGCCACAAUUAAAUUAUCUUUCGAAUGUUUAACAAAAAGAGUUCUAUCCGCGCCCCCUCGGUUGUAGCCCUUUUUCAAAAGAUAUUUUGUCAAACGCUCGUACCAUGCCCGCGGAGCCUGUUUAAGUCCAUAAAGUGCCUUUUUCAGACGAAAAACGUGAUUAGGAAAUUUUGAGUCUAUGAAACCUUUCGGUUGUUCAACAUAGACUUCCUCUUUUAGAAAACCGUUUAGAAAAGCACUUUUAACAUCCAUUUGAAAAAGAGUAAUUUUAAAAUGACAGGCGAUCGCGAACAGAAUACGAAUUGAUUCAAGACGAGCAACCGGGGCGAAUGUUUUCUCAAAAUCUAUUCCCUCAACUUGUGAGUAGCCUUUAGCAACCAGUCUUGCUUUGUUUCGAACAAUAGUACCAUCCUUAUUUUUCUUAUUCUUAAAAAUCCAUUUGGUACCAAUUAUGUGUUGUUGCUCAGGACGCGACACCAGUUCCCAGACAUCAUUACGCGUGAAUUGACCAAGUUCGUCUUGCAUAGCAUUAAUCCAGUAUUCAUCGAGAAGAGCUUCAUCAACAUUCUUUGGCUCAACUAAAGAAACGUAGCAAGCAAAUUCACACUGAAGCUGUCUCCUAGUUUUCACACCCGUAAGAGGGUCUCCAAUAACAUUUGACAAUGGGUGAUCUUUCACAGGUGUAAGUUUAGAUGAGGUGAUAGGGGUUUCAGAUGAAUCAUGUGAUGCAAUAGUAUCAACAAUUUCAGCAGAAGUAUCAGGCACAGAAAUUUCAUCAAUCACAGGCAAGUUAAAUGGAGAAUCAUUAUCAUCAUCAUUCAGACAAGCAUUGGAAGAAUCAUUCACAGAAGAUCCUACCGAAGAACCUUCAUCUACUUUGAUAUUAAUGGAUUCUAUCACCGUCUUAGUACGUAAAUUGUACGCACGAUAAGCACGACUAGAAGUAGAAUAUCCAAGAAAAAUUCCUUCAUCACUUCGGGAGUCAAAUUUUUCAAGAUUUUCACGAUCUCGAAGGAUAAAACAUUUACUCCCGAAGACACGAAAGUAUUUAAUGUUCGAUUUUCUACCAAUCCACAACUCGUACGGAGUGUUUAAAGUGCCCGGGUGUAAACAAAUGCGGUUAAUCACAUAGACGGCCGUGUUAACUGCUUCAGCCCAGAAGUGUAGUGCAACUUUCUUGCUAUGAAGCAUAACACGUGCCAUCUCUUGGACAACCCGGUUUUUACGUUCAACCACUCCAUUCUGCUGUGGUGUAUAAGGAGCAGAGAAUUCAUGUUUGAUGCCUUUUGAAACACAGAAAUCAACAAAUUUUGAAUUAAUGAAUUCUCCCCCUUGAUCACUUCGAAUGCACACAAUUUUAUCAUCCCUUUCAUUCAUAAGACGAAGACAGAUUUCAGAAAAAGAAUCAAACGUAUCAGCUUUUUCACGUAAGAAGGCACUCCAUACAAAACGAGUAAAAUCAUCAACAAUAAGCACAAUAUAUCGUUUUCAACCCAAACUUUGAAUUCUAGAGGGUCCCAUCAAGUCCAUGUGGAGUAGCUCUAAUGGUUUGGAUGUCCUUAAGUGGUUCAAAUUCUUAUGUGUGGAUUUAGUUUGCUUUCCCAAUUGACAACCCCAUAAACAGUGUUCUCCUUGAAAUCUAUCUUAGGUACACCUCUAACUGCCUCCCUCUUAGUUAUUUUAGAUGGUUCCUUAAAGUUCAUGUGACCUAGACGUUCAUGCCAUAAAGUUUCAGUCUCUAAUGUCGCUAGAUUACAAUGUUCAAUCAAAGAACUAGGAACUACAUAACAGUUAUUCUCAGAUCUAACACCUUUUAAAAAAAUGUCAUCAUUACGAGUCACAGUACAUUCUGUGUUAGAAAAUUUCACAGAGUACCCAUCAUCACACAACUGACUUAUGCUUACGAGAUUUGAUUUGAGCCCUUCAACAUAAAAGAAAUCAUUCAAAGUAGGGCCAUAUGAGAUAGUGACAAUUCCUUUUCCAAUAAUUUUUGAUGAUCGACCAUCUCCAAAAACAACAAGUCCACCGGAAAUUUUGUUUAAAGAAGUAAACCAAUUUGUAUCACCAGUCAUAUGACGUGAACAGCCACUAUCCAGAUACCAAGAAGUAUUGUCGUAAGCAUGAAGCGAAGUGUGAAUGACAAGGCAAGGAAAGAGUUCACCUUUGCGCACCCAAACCUUACGUGUUUUGGGUUGCGUUGUACGACUUGAUUGAGACACGCUUUGCUUGUCGACGAUUUGUGUAGUUCUUUUCUUCGAAUCAUUCUUCUUAGGCAUCCACGUUUGUCUUGCCUUUGUCUUUGGAUCCUCCUUCUUCAGUUGUUCCUUUGGUCUCCUAUUCAUGUGUGUUGUAGCAUUUUUCGGCUUUUGUUUGCAAAAUCUCUUCACAUAACCUACAACACCACAAAGAUGGCAGGUUUUGUUAGCAAACAAAUUCUUGGGAGGAACAAACUUACCAUAGGCCUUCGGAACCGGUUUUGUCGAAUGUUCGUCUACUUUCUUCAUCGCUUGAUCGACAUAUGUCCGUUCAUAUCCAAGCCCGAAUUUGUUGGUUUGACCAAGUCCUAGCAUUUUAUCAAGUUUGCUUGACCCGGACGAGAACUUGUUAGUCCGAUUUGAGUUGAAUGAUAGUCUUGGUAAAUUCCAUGUUGGAUUCUCUUGCUUCCGUGUAUUGCUUGUUAAGAAAAUUAAUGUUUUCAACCAGAGUUUCCUUUUCCAUCUCAAGCAGUGCACACUUGUCUAGUAAAGUAUUAUAUGACUCGGUCAAAGUGCCCUUUUCUUGCUCCAAACUUUUUGUCAAUGACUCUAAUCUUGUAUUGUCUUGGUCUAGAUCAUACAAUCUUCGUCUCAACUUCUUGUUGUGUUUCGCCACUUUCUUUUGAUUCAAUAACAAGUUGAUGAUAUGCGACGGCCAUAUCCUCUUCUUCCGAUUCUUCAUCCGUUGAGCUUUCCGUAGAGAAUUUUUCAUGCAAAGAAGACAUAGAAAUUGAGUGAGUCGAUGCUAAGCACAUAAAAGUAGAAUCCUGUGCAAUAAGUGCAGUGGCAUUAACGUCAUCAUCACUUGAGGAUGAUUCGUCGGAGGAGGACUCAUCCCAAGUAAUGGCUUGCAUCGCUUUCUUUUUCAAAGACUUUUUGUUAGGACAAUCUGAUGCAAUAUGACCAAAUCCCCUACACUUAUAGCAUUGUAUUUGACCUUCGCUACUUUUCUUUUCUUUUGUAAAAUCUUUUUGAAAGUUUUCUGAUUUUUUAAACUUCGAAGAGGUAGAGGAAGAGGAACUCCCUUUUGAUUUAUUUGGCUUGGAGGAAGUUGGCUUUGAAGAAAACUUCUUUCUAAAAUUCCGACGGAAUUUCUUAGUCAAAAGUACCAUUUGCUUCUCAAACUCUUCCAAGGUUACGUCAGAGUCCGAGUCCGAUGAAGAAGAUUCCACAUUGCCUCCUUUUCUUGCUCCAAACUUUUUGUCAAUGACUCUAAUCUUGUAUUGUCUUGGUCUAGAUCAUACAAUCUUCGUCUCAACUUCUUGUUGUGUUUCGCCACUUUUUUUUGAUUCAAUAACAAGUUGAUGAUAUGCGACGGCCAUAUCCUCUUCUUCCGAUUCUUCAUCCGUUGAGCUUUCCGUAGAGAAUUUUUCAUGCAAAGAAGACAUAGAAAUUGAGUGAGUCGAUGCUAAGCACAUAAAAGUAGAAUCCUGUGCAAUAAGUGCAGUGGCAUUAACGUCAUCAUCACUUGAGGAUGAUUCGUCGGAGGAGGACUCAUCCCAAGUAAUGGCUUGCAUCGCUUUCUUUUUCAAAGACUUUUUGUUAGGACAAUCUGAUGCAAUAUGACCAAAUCCCCUACACUUAUAGCAUUGAAUUUGACCUUCGCUACUUUUCUUUUCUUUUGUAAAAUCUUUUUGAAAGUUUUCUGAUUUUUUAAACUUCGAAGAGGUAGAGGAAGAGGAACUCCCUUUUGAUUUAUUUGGUUUGGAGGAAGUUGGCUUUGAAGAAAACUUCUUUCUAAAAUUCCGACGGAAUUUCUUAGUCAAAAGUGCCAUUUGCUUCUCAAACUCUUCCAAGGUUACGUCAGAGUCCGAGUCCGAUGAAGAAGAUUCCACAUUGCCUCAUUUCGUUGAUUUUAAUGCCAUACCUGAAGCUUUAGAAGACAACUUGAAAAAAGAUGAAUUAGCAGGAAAAGUCAUUUCAUACGUUUGAAGAGCACCAACUAAUUCAUCUACUUUGAGUUCAUCCGGAUGUUUUACCGUUUCUAUGGCCGCAACCUUGGGACGAAAACGUUCGGGAAGAGUUCUCAAAAUCUUUCGAACAAUCUUUGGUUCAGAGAUUUUUUCACCCAGAUUCGCACAAGUAUUAACAAUAUCUUGAAGACGAGUAUAAUACUCGGUAAAGGUUUCAUUUUCUUCCAUACGAAUAGAAUCAAAACGACUAGUCAACAUUUGUAAUUUCUGAACCUUUACCAAGCUUGUACCCUCAUGAGUGAUUUGUAAAGUGUCCCAAAUUUCUUUGGCGGUUUCACACGCCGAAACUCGAGAAAAUUCAGUUUAAUUCAAAGCAUUGAACAAAGCAUUGAUACCCUUCCCAUUGAACGAAGAUAGUUCGUUUUUCUCUUUUGUCCAUUUAUUUCUAGGUUUAGGAUCGGUAACAUUCUCGACUACUUCAGUAGAAUGUUUCCACCCGAAUUCAACGGCUUGCCAUACCCGCUCGUCAAUGGCAAUAAGAAACGCCCUCAUACGGACUUUUCAAUAAGCGUAGUUAGUACCAUCGAAGAGAGGGGGUCGAUUAACGUUACCGCCCUCGGCCAUAAUUUACAACCUAUACUCGCUCUGAUACCACUUGUAAGAUGUGGAUCCCGAGGAUCUAAAAAGUAAAAGGCACCUAGAGAGGGGUGAAUAGGUGUAAACGGUAAAAAUCACUAAACUCGAUGCAAAUUCAAAAUAUAAUGCGGAAAAUAAAAUCAGCACACCGAGAAUUAACGUGGGAAAACUCCAAACCGGAGAGAAAAACCCACGGGACCGAUCACACAAAGAAAUCCACUAAGAAAACAUGAGUACAAGUGAUUUAUCAAAAUACAAGACUCAAAAUACCGAAUCCUUGUUGUAGAUUAUCUUUGCCAGUCCUCGAUCGCUUGGAAUUCUCUAACCGAUCACACUGCAAAUCCUUGCAGCCGCACACGCCUCGAUUCCUCGAAACGCCCACCGAAUCCACGGUCUUCACGCGUUACCCACGCGCUAACGCUCCAUCCGAAGCUCGUUGGGAUUUAACAAUUUGUAGUGAUUGAAACUCUUUGAAAGCACAUAUAAUAUGAGGAGAAAUCUAAAUCAAAACAUCACCAAUUUGAUCCUUAAAGAAAUUUUGAAUCAAAACGAAGAAUCAAAUCGGUGAUCUAAAGCUUGAUGUUUAAAAACAUAAAUCAAAACUCCGAAUCAAGCCGUUAGGGUUUCUAAAAGGUUAUCUCGCUCAAUACAUCACAUAUGGAGAUCCUCAUAUCAUAUUUAUAUGUUUAGAAGACUUCAAGAUAGACUAGGAUUUCAAAAACUCAAUUUUAAAAAAGACGACGGUCUCAGGGUCCGGUCCUCCCGAGAGUCCGGUGCUUGGGAGACCGGUCCUCCAAGGUGAGGUCCGAUCUUUCGCUGCGUAGAUGUAAAAAUAUGCGUACGGGGACCGGUCCUCAAUUCAGAGACCGGUCCUUCCCUGCGCAACAAGGAAAACCACGUACGGGAACCGGUCCUCAAGAUCAGAGACCGGUCUCCCAAACCUUCUACGCAGAGAAGCUUGAUGGGUCCGAUCCUUCUGAUCAAGGACCGGUCCCCGACCCCUGAGUUUUUUAGAAAACUUAAGUUUGAACAACUCAAAUAUAAAUCAAGUCUUCUAAACAUCUUUUAACAAUAAAAACUUCACCACAAAUUAUUUAUAUUCAUACCUAACAUCCUAAGGGUCUUUGAUCACAAAACUUCAAUUCUUUCUUCAAUCUUCAUCUUCUAAUUCUUCGAGACUCCGUCUAAUACUUCACGAAAUUCGCCAAGUUAUAAAAUCCUUAACAACGGAGUCGAGUGGGAUAGACACAUUCGAAGAGUAGGAAUGUGGGGCUACCACGGGCACAUUCCAAGAGUAUUGAGUGUGUUAUGAUCACUACUAGAUAGAGAGUAGUAGUUGGAUUACUUAGAUUUGCUUCUAGCAUAGUGUUGGACACUUGAGUAUACAUACAUACAUGUAGCAUGCUAAGAGAUGUUGUUCAUUGCAUUCAUGUAAACAUUGUUUACUAUAGUAAAGUAUGAUCUUCAUAAAUUCAUAAAACAAAUUAUGAUUGUUACUUGUGGUCAUGUAGGGACAUACUUGUUUAUUAUGAAUUAAAGGUGCAUCUUAAUUGAGACAAUGUAGUAUCUUAGCGUGUUAAUUAUGCCUUCUUAAAUGCAAAUUAUUCAUUGUUAUUGCUCUUUUUUUACUUACCCUUUCUUUGGGGCCUAGUGGUGCAUUGAGCUGAGGUCAGUAAUUGCCCACUGGGAACUAUAAAUUAUAGUUCUCACGCCCUUUGUUUUAUGUUUUCUUUCAGAGCCUUCCACGCCGGGAGAGGCUAGAGACCGCGGGAAGGGCGUUGCUUCGAGCUAGCUCUUCUGUGAGGGACGACUUGAUAGGUGGUUUACCUCUCGAUGUUUUUAUUUUGGAGAGGUUGAGAGCUGUACCAGUGUACUAGAGACCACCCUUUUGUGUAUCUUUUUGGACAGAUAUUGUAUAAGUUUAUGUUUCACUUUUAUUGCUUUAGUUUUUUUUUUCCUUUCACCUUGUUUUGGAUGAUAGCUCUAUUGUGCUCUGAUAUCUCUAGAUAUUAUUUGUCUUUGGUUUAUUUUCCGCUGUUGAUGUAGACGCCUUAUAUGUGCUGAGUAUGGUGGGUCUGGGCACGCUACCGGGAGGGCCUCUGUCGGUCCCGGGGCGUGACAGAUUAGUUUGGUAUCAGAGCCUAGGGUUGAGUCUUAGUGGACCUAGUAAACGUUAGGCCGGUUGGACUAUAGAAAAUAGGCUCGUGAGAGACGAGGUCUAAUCUAAUUGUUAGCGAAAGUAUUUUGAUUGGGUUUGAUGGUAACUCUAAAAAGUUAGAGUUUGAUCGGAGUGUAUGGCUUCUAACUUCGCGGAGGGUUACGUUGAUGGUCGACAACAUAACAUCGGGAGUUAGUAGUGAAGGACACUUCCUUACUUUCGCAUGAUUUGGGUACUUAUUUAUUGAGCGGGGUUGCAAUAGCGUGGGUUUUACUAACUUGCGCUUUUAUGAUGUUGUAGUGGCAAUGCUGACGACUCGCUCUAAGUCUAUCGGAGCGGACAAUGCGGCGAACUUUGAGGAGGUGGAGACCUCCGCUAUCUCUGGAUCCGGUGAGGUCCGUGAGUUGAGGAGCCAGCUGGCGGCCCUCACUGACUUGGUCGCGCAGCAGGCGGUGGCAGCCCAGCAGCAGGCGGACGCGGCGCGCCGGCAGGAGGCGCGGAUGGAGCGACUGGAGGAUUUGCUUAGGCAGCAGGCGGCUGCCCGGGGGGCAUAGGUGUCCACACCCCCACCAGCACCGGCAGUGAUUGCGACACCGAGGGCGCCAUCUCCAGGGCCCGGUACUCCGAGGACAUCACCGGAUAUUGCGCCUCGGGGAGAGGAGUUCGUGGCACCACNGGCAGUGAUUGCGACACCGAGGGCGCCAUCUCCAGGGCCCGGUACUCCGAGGACAUCACCGGAUAUUGCGCCUCGGGGAGAGGAGUUCGUGGCACCACCGGCGCGAGCAUAUGUAGCGGGGGCGGUUUUCCCCACGAUGGUUGAGGGAGCCAAGCGAGAUCGGCUCAUGGAGCGUCUCAGUGAGUUCAGGAGAUGCAGUCCACGGACCUUUGACGGGGAGAACGUGGACCAUUGGAUAGUGGAGAAAUGGCUUAUGCAUAUAGAGAAGCUAUUUCGAGAUACCUUUGUGGAGCAGAGGGACAGAGUGUGGCUCGCCACACACUUUUUAGACGGCGAGGCCUACCGUUGGUGGUUGGAUAUCCUGGACAACCCCAACACGGAUUUGGUAGCGAUCUCUUGGGCGAAGUUCAAGGAGCUGCUUCUGGCACACUACUUCCCUACCAGCGCCAAGAGGAAGAUGGAGCAGGACUUGCGCAGCUUGCGCCAGGAGGAGCGGUCGGUGGCCGAGUACGCGAGGGAGUUCUCUCGGCUACUCCACUGUGUACCAUUUGUGGUGCGGGAUGACGAGGACAAGGCCCGCAUUUUUGAGCGCGAAUUGCGGCCUUCGAUCUUUCGGUUGGUGCAGUCCUCCAACCUCCAAACCUACCGGGAGGUUGUGGACCGUGCACUCAUUGUGGAGGCUGGAGCGGCAGACCUUCAGGAGCGACGCGAGGCCCUAGACAAGGGUAAGGGCAAGACGCCAACAGCUGAGGGUGCCAGUCAGACGCACUCACGGAGGCUGUCGAGGCAUCCUAGGAGCAGGAGCCAGUCACAAGGACGUGGCCAGUCUACUUAGCGAGGAGGACCUGAUCGACGCCAGGCUCCGCGCUGCAUGAUUUGCGGUGGUCCCCAUUUUCCACGGCAGUGCCACUUUCUUCUUCAAAGAGCGCACCUCAUGGUGAAGUGAUUUUACAGUAAUCACUCCCCCUGAGCUUGAAGAUUCCUCACGCUCUGCUCGAGGUGGAGGUACUGAACUAGAAGCUCCUUUGGAUGAUCCCUUAGUUUGUUGAAAAGUCUUCAGUGUGCUUCUUGACUUGGCCCAGGUUACAGCAUCAAUCGGUCGAAGUCCAAUGUCAUACUUUUCACACGACACGUCAACUCCGUGUUCUUGAAGAAUCCUCGUGAUCAACAACAGAAACGGAAGUAGAUCACAUCGAACUUGACACUGUAUAACAUAGGCCAUUCUUUGCCACAUCGGAAAGGGAAUAUUGAUGUUCAACCCGUCCGCUUCCUCAGGAUGUCCAAGAAGAUAUAGAAGCACCAGACGAUCCCAACGAAUCCUUUUCGUUCCAAUUGUAGGUUGAACAUUGUAGCUCAUCACUAAGGAGAGUAGAUGAUACUCGGGUAGCAAAUCUGUAACACACUGGACCUUUGCAAAUUGCGAGGUUCGAGUGUUUGGAUGUAUUUCGAGCUUUUCCACACUUGGUGGAGGGUUGUAAAAUGCUUCCCGACCCAAAAAGUUCGAAAUCUGGAGCUUUGGACAAGUCCUGAGAGUUUUUACUCUCGGGGACCGGUCCCUGAANUUUGCUCCAAAAGCUUCUUCUUCACCUUCCUUGUCUUCUUUUCCUUUCUUUUCCUUGGCCUUCUUCUUCUCCUUCUUUGUCUUCUAGAGAGAGAAAGAGAGGAGAGAGUGUGAGAGGGUGAGAAUGAGAGAAAUAUCUCAUUUACCCCAAUACUAUACUCAAUGGGUUGCCAAAAUGCAGCUAGACCUCUCAACUUUUACUCUUUCACACAGCCUGGACUGGGCUGAUCGCGCAGGCAGGGACCGGUCUCUCCUUUAGGGACCGGUUCCCGAACGUCGUCCCAGCGCAGCCAGAGCUCCUGCGCGCAGUGCAACCGGUCUCUCUUUGUGGGACCGGUCUCUCGAGGACCGGUCUCUCAGGCAGGGAUCGGUUCCCGAGAGCUAAUUUCUCAGGACUUAGCCGAUUUUUCGACUGUCUCAUUUCAUACGCGUUCGGGGACCGGUCUCUCCCACCAGGGACCGGUCCCCGAGAGGUGAAAAUCUGCAGUUUUGCAGAAUUUGAUUCUUUAGCUCUCGAAAACCUUCCAGAACGCACUUUUGAUCAUUUUAACACCUUCGGACUUUCCGAAGCGUACCAUCCUCGCACUUUGGUCAAUUUGACUAAAGUUCGACAUUUAUUUUCCGAAUUUUCGGUAUAUUACAGUAUGCAUCUCGCCAAUUGUAGGACUAUGAAAGGAAUUACCCCACGCACGACUUGGAGUUGGCGGCCGUAGUCUUUGCAUUGAAGCUAUGGCGCCACUACUUAUAUGGCGAGCGGUGCGAAGUAUCUACGGAUCACAAGAGUUUAAAGUAUCUUUUCACUCAGAAGGAGUUGAACUCGAGGCAGCGCAGAUGGUUGGAGCUACUCAAGGAUUAUGACUUGACUAUUCUUUACCACCCGGGCAAGGCUAACGUGGUGGCAGAUGCGCUAAGUCGGAAAUCGACGAAAAACUUAGCGAUGCUUGUGGUUACUCAACCGCCGUUGAUCGAGCAGAUGAAGCGGUUGGAGUUGGAGGUGGUGGCUCCUGAUACACCUUUGAGGUUGAUGACUUUGGUGGUGCAACCUAUACUUUUGGAAAGGAUUAAAGAAAAGCAAGCUUCCGACUCGGAGUUGCAAAAGAUUCGAGCUAAGAUGGUUGAUGGUUGCACCGGUGACUUCACUUUAGACGGUGAUGGAUUGAUGCGUUUCCGCGGACGACUUUGUGUACCGGCGGACUUGGGCAUCAAAGAGGACAUUCUUCAAGAAGCACACCGAGCACCGUAUGCUAUACAUCCGGGAGGCACCAAGAUGUACAAGGACUUGAAGUUGCUUUACUGGUGGCCCGGGAUGAAAAAGGAUGUUGGUGAGUUUGUGGCUAGAUGUUUAACUUGCCAACAGGUGAAGGCUGAGCACCGAGUUCCUGCAGGGAAGCUGCAGAGCCUACCGAUUCCAGUGUGGAAAUGGGAAAAGAUCACCAUGAAUUUUGUGAUGGGAUUGCCUCGCUCACAGGCCAGGCAUGACGCUAUUUGGGUGAUCGUGGAUAGGUUGACGAAAUCGGCACAUUUCAUACCUAUCCACACCACUUGGACUGGUGAGAGACUCGCACAGGUAUACUUGGAUGGGAUUGUGCGAUUGCAUGGGGUACCUACUUCUAUAGUGUCGGAUCGAGACCCCCGUUUUGUAUCCCACUUUUGGAGGAGCCUACAGGACGCUCUGGGUACGCGUUUGGAUUUCAGCACUGCUUUCCACCCCCAGAGUGACGGGCAGUCAGAGCGUACUAUACAGACUCUCGAGGACAUGCUUCGAGCCUACGUGAUCGACUUCCAGGGAGGAUGGUCGCAGCAUCUACCGAUGACAGAGUUUGCUUAUAACAACAGUUAUCAAGCAAGCAUCAAGAUGGCACCGUUCGAGGCACUCUAUGGACGAAAGUGUAGAUCGCCACUUCAUUGGAGUGAAGUUGGUGAGAGAUUGGCUUUAGACCCUGAUGUGCUCCAGGAAGCAGAGGACAAGGUUCGCAUUGCUCGGGAGCGAUUCUUGACAGUCCAGAGUAGGCAGAGAAGUUAUGCUGAUCGGCGUCGACGAGACUUGGAGUUUCAGAUUGGAGACCAUGUGUUCUUGAAAGUCUUGCCGACCAAAGGAAUUCGAAGAUUUGGAAUCCGGGGCAAGUUGAGCCCUCGAUUCAUUGGACCGUUUGAGGUUUUGGAGCGUAUAGGCCCGGUAGCGUAUCGACUCGCUCUACCGCCAAACCUAUCGGGUGUACACAAUGUGUUCCAUGUAUCGGUCCUUCGGAAGUACAUCCACGAUCCGGCUCACGUGUUGGCUACUACACCUUUGGAGCUGCGGGAUGAUUUGAGCUUCGAAGAGCAACCCUUGAGGAUUUUGGCUCGCGAAGUGAAAAGAUUGCGGAACCGAGAAAUUCCUUACGUGAAGGUGCUUUGGAGCAACCACGACGAACGCGAGGCCACUUGGGAGUUAGAGAGCGCACUGCGGGAGCGCUAUCCCCAUCUUUUUCAGAUGGAGGCCUGAGGUAUUUGUCAUUUCGAGUUUCGCGGACGAAACUCCUUUUUAGGAGGGAUGAAUGUAACACACUGGACCUUUGCAAAUUGCGAGGUUCGAGUGUUUGGAUGUAUUUCGAGCUUUUCCACACUUGGUGGAGGGUUGUAAAAUGCUUCCCGACCCGAAAAGUUCGAAAUCUGGAGCUUUGGACAAGUCCUGAGAGUUUUUACUCUCGGGGACCGGUCCCUGAAAGGAGAGACCAGUCCCCCAGUGAACAGUGUUGCGGCAGCCCUGAGGCAACCGGUCCCGCGCAGGGAGAGACCGGUUCCCGAACGCUGGGUUUUCGGGUUCGCAGCGAGAGACCGGUCCCUGCUGGGGAGAGACCGGUCCCUCUGGGCGAAAACUGCCCAGUUCGGGCUGAUGUAAUAUUGGUUUUUUGAGGGGCCUGGUUGGAUUUUGUUACAUUAGAUGGGCUUAUUAGCUAUUUCCUCCUCCCUCCUCUCUCAUUUUUCCAUUCUCAUCCACUCCCUACACUUCCUAGAGAGAGAGAAGAAGAAGAAGAAGGAGGAGAAGAAGGAGAGGAGCUAGCUUGUGGGAGCUUGGAGCUCAACCCCAUUCUCUCUUUUCCACCUUUGCAAGGCUUGGAGCUUGCUUGUGGAGCUUGGUGGUGGACCAAUCUUCAACCCUAGAAGAUUUGGAGCUUGUUUGGAGGCAUCUUGGGAGGUUAGUACUUGGAUUCUACCCUUUGAUCCUUGAUUUGGUGGGUUUUCACCAUUUGGAACCCUAGAAUGAGAUUUAGGGUUUGAUUUUGGGCAUUUUUGAUCUAGGGCUUUUCGACCUAAAUUGAUUGGUUUAGAACCUUCCUAGGGCUUGGAUUGGAAGGGUUCUAGCUCUCUUUUGGAGCUUAGGAGAAGAUUUCUACUCUUGAGGUGAGUUUUGCCCCUUUUUGCUCCUAGGUUAAUGUUUGUUGUUAUAGGAUGGUUGUAAUGCCCUCGUAUCUCUUCGCUGAUUACUUUUAGGGUAUUUUGAGACUCGGGGACAACUUGGUUCGGCAAGACGAGGCUCUACGCGACGGUUCGGUGGGUUUGACCCAGCCACACAAUGAGAAAUUCUCAUUUGUGCUUAAUUAAGUGUUGUAAAAUGAAAAAGCAUGCAUAUUCUUGUUAUAUGUAUUUAUUGUGAAUUUUAGAAUGCUUAAAAGGCCUAUGUUAUACAUGAUGACAUUUUGGACCUCUAUGUAGUAGAGAGUAGCUUAUUAGGCCAUAGUUGCAUUUGGCAUUCUAUAUGAGACGUGGUAUCAUACUUCUAUAGUAUAAAUGAGUUCGGAUUCAUGCAUUCAAACCUAAGUUUACUUGUGACAUGAAAAUUGACAAAAUUGUCAUUUAGAAGCUAUAUGAAUUAAAGAGCUAAUGUCAUCAAGCGGCAUUGAGCUCGGAACAUGUGUGAACCUAGUGGAUAGGGCCAUCGAGGGAUUUGGGAUACAUAUUGGACACCAAAUUGCCUAAGUGUCAUCAAGGGGCACUAGGCGUAGCAAAGUUGAGAAUUCACAUUUUGCCUUAAAUUAGAUCUACGGGAUGCUAGCGACUAUAUCAUGUUAGAGACAUGAGGAUUGGAUAUUUGAGACUUGGACUUUGCUUGCUUGCCAUUUGUGCUCAUUCGCACAUGCUUGUGAGGGUCGCUCCCUACAAGCCGGCACUCCGGAGUUAGCCUAUGCGACCUAUGUUCGCUCGUGCGGUAUUGAGAAGCCUACGGGGUCGAGUGGGACAGACACAUUCCAAGAGUAGGGAUGUUGGGCUACCACAUGCACUUAGGCGGCACAAGCUGGACCACCUUUGGUAGGUCCUUAAUUGGAAAUGGAAAUCGAUACGGUGUUGAGAAUGGAUAAUCACUACUAGAUAGGUUUAGUAGUUGAGCUACGUUUACAUGCUUUUAACAUAGUGUUGAGACAUGUAGUAUACUUGGUUGCCAUGAUAGAACUUCUACAUCAUGCUUUGACAAAGGUUAACAACAUUAAACUAGUGUCAUUGAACUUAAUUGUAAUGAUAGAUAGAUGUACAUUUUGGUUGACAUCAUACUUACUUGAGAUACAGUAGACUAGCAUUUCAAUUAUGCUUUCUUUCAGCAGUUUAUUUACAUGCUCCUUAUUGCUUAGUAUUAGUAUCGUUGCUUACCCUUAUUUUUGGGGCCUAGUGGAGCAUGAGCUGAGGUCAGUAAUUGCCCACUGGGAACUAUAAAUUAUAGUUCUCACGCCCUCUUUUUCUCGAUGUUUUUCAGAGCCUUCCACGCAGGGUGAGGCCAGGGAUCGCGGGAAGGGAGUUGUUUCGAGCUAGCUUCCUUCGAGGACGUGUCGCUAGGUGGUCCACCUCUCGAUUUAUGUUUUAUUUUGCGAGAGGUUGAGCGUUUUACCAGUGUACUAGAGACCACCAUUUUUGUACAUUUGAGACAGAUAUUGUACUUCUUAUGACUCCUUUUUCUGUCUAGCUUUACUUCUUUACCUUGGUGUAGAUGAUAGAUCUAUAUUUGCUCUGAUAUCAUUAGUUGCUAGUUAUUUUCACUUCUUCUACUUGUUUUAUUACUUGCCUUUACUUCCGCUUUUAUUGUAGACGCCUUAUAUGUGUUGACAUAUGGCGGGUCUGGGCACGCUACCGGGAGGGCCUCCGCCGGUCCCGGGGCGUGACAAAAUCUUUGGAUUCCACAUAUGAAUGAUUCGUCCUUACGCCUUCCUUGCAUAUAGCUUGAAUAACAGUCUCCCAAUGGGUCGAAGACUGAUAAAGCCCUGUCGUAUAGUGAAGGCCGGUAGUAUCAACAUGCAUCCCUAAGUGCUCUCCAAUCGUGUAAGGAGUAACUUGAAUCUUCUGCUUACGCACAUAUGUCUCAAACACAUAAGUCCCAGUCUCCUCAUCCUCUGCAAGCACCAUCCCGUUCAUGUAGAACUCCCGAAUGAGUUCCACACAGAAUGGAGCACGAGCUGGAACCCAUCCAACGGGCUCAAUAGGGAUCCUCUGCAGCAAUCGACCAAAAUCUAGAACCUCCUUGAUCAGCUUAGUAAAGUUGACAUAGCGCUCAGCUACAACUUAUCGGCUUGAAUAUAUCCUCCGACGCUCUAAAGAAGCCUCCGCAGCACGUUUGGAGCGACUCUCAGGCGCACGAGAAUCACCUCCUCGCGAGGAUUCUCCUGCUAUGCCUUUUUCUUUAGUAGCCCUAGUAACAGCUUCUUCAAUAGCUUCAGGUGAGCUUGCUUGAUAAUCCGGAUUGGAUCCUGAUGACUUGUCGGCAGUACAAGUUCUCUUUGAUGUCCCGCGACGUCCUCGACCACCACCACGGCCACGACCGACGGCCAUAAGCACCAAAAGCAGAAUCACAAGCGAGAACGCCAUUUUCCUACAUUAAAAUGAGCCAUUCAUGAAGAAAAUUUUGAAAAAAUCUGUAAAAAUAGUGAAAAAAUAUCUAAUAUUCUUAGAAUGCAUACUAACGCUAUUUCAAACUGAUUCAUGCAAAAAAUUUCAUCAAAAAUUGAUAUUCCAACAACAAUCCUGAAAUUCCAUGUAUUAUGAUAUAAGGAUCAUAGAUCAGCAAAAAAUAAUGCAUUAUGACAUGAUCUAAACGUUCUAGAAGUAAGAAUACAUGCAUACAAACUGAAACGAAGCAAAAAAUUCCAUCAAAAACGAAUCAAAACAUAGAUCUAGCUUCAACUCGGAAUAUUUUCGAAAAAUAGGCAAGAACGCGAUGAAACGAUUAAAUCCAAGCUAAAUACUCACAGAUUUUUGGAAAAACCGAGUAGAUCUGGAAGAGGAAAUCUCCUGGGGAUUUUAGAGAGAGAGAGAGAACGAAAUUUGAUUUAGAUUUGGAGGAGAAAAAAAGCCCUGUAACCGGUUUUAUUUCCGCGGCUACAGUAAUUUGUACCGGUACACGGGAUUUUGUACCGGUACACUUUUCCAGAUUUCGAAAAUUUGAAUUUUUAAAAAUCCUUUAAACUUAAAUUAAUUUCAUACAAAUUAAGAACUUUACUCCAAAAAUCAUUAUAAUGAAGAUAAAAUAUUAUAAGAUUUUAAAAUACAUCGAAACAUCACAAUUUUGUUAUAAAAAAUAACCUCGAGUUUCAAAAUCAUCAAGAUGUAACAGUUCACGAAAAAUAAUUUUUAGAAAUUCGGCAAAAUUGACACCAAUUUGUCGCAAUCCGUUCAAAAUAGAGAUUUAACUAAUAUGAUACUGGGGGUGGUUCUUUGAGCUUCUUUUUCAAAACUAAGACCUUAUAACUCCAAAAAUUCUAAAAUAUUUAUUUUUUUUUCAACCUUUUCUGUUAUUCAAUUCAAUCUUCAUGUAGUAGCUUCACACACUUGCCGAUGUGGUGGUAGUUUUCACACUCCUUUUGGAUGUAACUCUUUCCACAUCUUUUAAACAUAGGAGUUUUCUUUUUUUCUUUUUUUCUUAAAAUAAUUUCAGCUCCCCCUAAAUUAGACAAUCUCACAAUUGAAAAUAUUUUGACAUAUUUUAGUCUAUUAGUGAAUAUCCAUCUAUCAUAUCCAACACAUACAACCAAGAUAGAUUAAUCAUCAAGAGAUCAAAUUUGAUUUCAAAAUUUUGUUGAAUAUAUGUAUUAAGAAAUCAUAUAUUAAAUUAUUGUCAAAAUAAUAAAAAGGGGAGUAAAACCUGAUAAUUAAUAUAAAUUUAAUUUAAGAUGAAUUUCGGUUAAAAACACUUUGAAAAAUUCUAAUCUCCCCAAAAUAAAAAUUUUCAAUCGUCUCAUUUCUCAAAAAUUUUUUUAAAUUUCCAACCUCCUUUCCUCAAAAACAAAUAAAAUUCAAGCACCAAAAAUCGGCUAAAACAUGUAAUGCAAUGAAAGAAUAUGCAAUAAGCAUCAAACAAAGCAUUACAUAAACAAUAAAACAAACUAAGACAAAGUGCAAGGAAAGAUAUCACCUUUCCGGAUCCAAACUUGUCGGAUUGUUGGUUGUCUUGGUUUGUCGACAUUAAUCACAAUCAAUUUUGAUUUUGAAUCAACCGUUGAUUGUUUCGUUGCUUGAGGCUUGGUUGAAUUUGUCGUUGAGGCUUAGAAAUCCGGUUUGCUUUUGAGUUCGGUCGAACAUAACAUUGUGCAUUAGAAAACCGGUUCCCAAGAGGUGUUUGACUUAAAUGAUUUUGCUUUUGAUUCUGUGGGGGAAGUCGAGUUGUAGAUAAUGCCGAUUGAGUUUUAGGAGUUGCCGAAUGAUUCUUCUUAUCUUUCACCAGGCAAUUCCUUUUGAUGUGACCUUUAAUGCCACAUUUAUGUCACACCUUCUCUUUCGAAGUUGUUGAGACUUUAGAUGUCGACUUUAGAUGUCGACUUUAAAUCCUUCUCAACACACGUUCUCUUGUAUUCGAGGCCCAACUUGCUCGUUUGACCUAAUCCGAGCAUAUGAUCUAAUUUCUUUGAGCCGGAAGAAAAUUUUUGUAUGUCGGACUGAAGUUGACGAACUUGAUUGGUCAAGGAUUGCUUGGAUUUGUGCGAUUCCUCGAAUUGUUGCUCCAAAAAUCCAACCUUGUUUUUAUACGAUUUGAUCGUUGAUUCCACUUCAUCAAGUUUCUCUUGGAGGAUUAAGUUAUUCUUAGAAAUCUAUUCCUUUUCCUCCUCAAGAGCUUUAUUCGUAAUCUUCAAAUUUUUGUUUUCUUCCUCAAUGUCCAAUAGACGAUGCCUCAACUUUUUAUUGAGCUUGGUCAUCUUUUUCGAAUCAAUAAGAAGUUGGUUGUAUGCUUCCGCUAUAUCCUCGUCGUUUGACUCCUCCUCGCUUUCGCCAUUGUCGCACGAAGACCCAUGCGAAGAGAGAGAAACAUUGGAAUUAGAAACAACUGAGGAUAAACAAACAACGUUAGACGAAGGCAAAGAAUUAUUAGCAAGUAAAGCAAUAUGAUCAUCCUUUUCUUCGUUACUUGAAGAUGAUUCACUUGAAGUAGAAUCAUCCAAAGUUUUUGCUUGCAAAGCCUUUUGUCUAUAAGUCUUCUUUGAAGGACAAUCCGUUGCAGUAUGGCCGUAGCCUUUGCAUUUGUAGCAUUGAAUUUCGCCUUCAAAUUCAUCUUUUUCUUUUGAGGACUUUGCAAGUUUUUUAUCCUUAGAUUUAGCACUUGAAGAUUGUUUAGAAAAAGAUUUAUGCUUCGAAGAUGAAGCCUUGUCCGAAUUGUUCUUCUUUCGGAAAUUCCGUUGGAACUUCUUCGUGAGGAGUGCAAGUUGAUGUUCAAAGUCCGCGAGCGAAAUAUCUCCGUCGGAAUUCGAGUCGUCUUCUUCUUUCUUUGUUGAUUUGAGUGCAACCCCUGUGCUUUUAGAAAAAGACUUGGAAGAAGAUGGGUUAGUAGGAAAAGUCAUUUCAUACGUUUGUAAAGCGCUUACUAACUCUUCGACUUUCAUCUCGUCCGGAUGCUUAACGGUUUUGAUCGUGGCAACCUUUGCCCGAAAGCGUUCCGGAAGAGUUCGAAGAAUCUUUCUAACAACCUUAGGCUCCCAAGUUAGCGCAUGUAUUCACAACGUCUUGUAGACGCGUAUAGUACUCGGUAAAGGUCUCGUUUUCUUCCAUGAAAAUUGAGUCAAAUUUGCUUGUUAGCAUUUGGAAUUUUUGAACCUUUACUAAGCUUGUUCCUUCAUGCGUAACUUGUAGAGUAUUCCAAAUUUUUUUUGCCGUUUCGCAUGUCGAAACAUGAGUAAACUCCGUUUGCGAUAAAGCGUUGAAUAAAGCAUUAAUUCCUUUACCAUUAAAGGAAGAUGACUCGUUUUCAUCUUUCGUCCACUUGUUCCGUGGUUUUGGCAUUUCAACAUUCUCGACCUUUUCAAUAGGAUGUUUCCAUCCAAAUUCUAUUGAUUGCCAAACGCGCUCAUCGAUUGCGUGUAGAAAAGCUCUCAUGCGAAUUUUUCAAUAGGCAUAGUUUGUGCCAUCGAAGAGCGGUGGUCAAUUAAUGUUUCCGCCUUUGGCCAUUAGAUAACAAUUUAUUUAGAUCCCGCUUUGAUACCAAUUGUAAGUUUUGAGGAGCCCGAGGAUCUAUCUAGAUUGUACCUAACACCUAGAGGGGGGUGAUUAGGUGUUAAAGCCAAAAACCACAAAUCUCAAUGCGAUAAAAGUAAAUGUGGAAAAUAAAAAUCACACCGAGAUUUACGUGGAAAAUCUCCAACUUGGAGAAAAACCCACGGGACCAACACGCGAAAAAAUAAUUCACUAAGAGAAAAGAUUACAAGGUGAUUAUCGACUCCACGGACUUAACCUCUCUUAACCUCCUAUUAAUCUCGCAUAAUCCUCCGGGUUGUCCACGCCCUCACGUUUGAAUCCACGAACACCACGUUCCGAAUCCACGAAAUGUCUCCACUCCGAAUCCACGAAGCUCACGAUCCGAAUCCACGAACUGCCGUCAAUCACGUCGAAUCCACGACGCCGUCAUGAAGAACAUCAUGUGUAUAGUGAUCCUUCACUUAGAGUAUUGAUGAAAGCCAGGGAAGGGAACUCCAAGCGAAGCGAAGAUCAAAUCGGCAUAUAGAUAUGAAAUUCCAAUAUCUCAAUUUGACCUAAAAGAGGCUAAUAUGUAGAAAAUAGGUUUUAGAUGAAAUCCGAGCCUCUAGGGUUUUUCUAACAUGUAUUCUCGUGAUACUUUACAAGUUAGAGAACCCUAAUAGCUUAUUUAUAGGCUUUAGAAUCAAUCGGAGUAGGAUUAGAAAGUUUUCACGAUUUUACACUGUGUACCGGUACACUUUAAGCUGUCACCGGUUACACGAUGACGGAAUGAAAAAACUGACGAAACAGUGGAACCGUUUACAUGUCGAUGGCUGUACCAGUACAUAUUUUGUACCGGUACACUUCUGAUGUUGUACCGGUACACUUUGCAAAUUUUUACCGUUUCAGGUUUUGCAAAGUACCGAUGCACUUUCUAAUCCAAUAAAUAUUGAUAUUAUGAUUAUAAUGCCUACAACUAAGUAUGAAUCACCAUAACAUGAAUUAACACUUUACCUCGGCAUCGUGAUUCACAUCGUGAGUUAUUUUCCAACUAUUUCGAAAUCUUGAAUUCUUCGAUCUUCGACGAUACGCACCAAUUCUUCAAGACUCCGACUCACUUCACGAAGCUUGCCAACACACAAGACUUAACAAGCAUACCUCUCAGGACUUAGUCAAAUUUUCACUCAUUUCUGGCUGACUACGCGCACGGGGACCGGUCUCUCAUCACAGGGACCGGUUCCCGAGGGCAACAUCUCGCAACCUAGCCAUUUCCCAACUUUUCCACCUACAGGGACCGGUCUCUCCCCACAGGGACCGGUUCUCGUAGCCUGAUUUUUCAGAACUUAGUCGAUUUCUAGCUUUUUGGGCAGGCUGCGCAUACCUGGACCGGUCUCUCCCCUCAGGGAUCGGUCCCCGAGAGUCCAAAAUCUGGGACUUGGCCAGAUUUUGUAAUUUCACUCUCUCGUGUCCCUUUAUACUGCAUGUAGGUUCCAAUGCACUUAGAACCCAUACAAACUCAUUCCACUCUGCAUUCCGCACAUUUCGAUAGAACUCGGCACGACUUACGGGGAAGUGAUAUGUUACAGCGAGUCUGCUUGCCCACAUUCGUCCUGACUUUCGGAAUUGCAGGUGCUUCAAUGCAAUUUGGCACCAUUUCAUAAGAUGUUCAAGCUACUGUUAUGCCUCAUACUUUUGUUGCUACUGGGGGCAUGACCAUUCCCGCCGCCCCUUCACAAGAUGUAUGCAAUGUUGUCAUUCCUCUCCUACCAUCUUGAGGAAGACGAUCCAAUGUGGUCAUCCCCAACCCGCCUCGCCGACCCAAAGAUGAACGACUCACUUACCAACUUGCAUCCAAGAGGAUGGAGUCUGAGGGAAGAUUGAUAUUCCCAAAUGGCAGAGUGCAGAAAGCAUCAGUAUUCGAUAGGCUAGCGCUUUUUAAUGAUACUACAACCACCAAUCCUCCAACGAGAGCAUCCUUUAAAAGGAAUAACCGCCGCCAACUCCAUAGAGGAAAGGUUGCUCGGGGCAAGGACAAUAACAUUCAAGAGCCCCAACUGAUCCAAUAAGCAUUUCCGACUCACAACUUUUUCGCUCCAUUAGAGCUUGUGAAAAAGAAUGCAAUGACCGCUGUUUUACGGCUGACAAUAAAAAUGAAUCAGCUAGAAGUUUCGAAGAGAUGUCAGGAACAUCAAGAGGAAAAUAUUGCUAAAAGAAUCUAUAAGGCCUAUAAGGCCAUUAAGGGACGAAUGGAAAAGUUAGGAGGUCAAAAGCAAUCGUUACCACCAUAUAACAAAGUGUGGGUACGAAAAGAAUUUGUCCCAAUGACUAAGGACGCAUGUGAGAAGAAUGAGAAUAUGGUGGUCCAUACUGUUCGAAUGGUUGGACAUCAAGAGCUUGAUCAAUUAGAGGAGCAAGAGACGCUAAAUCAGAUGCUUACUAGAGCUGCCGCUCGUAGAAAGGAGGUAGCGAGACAAAAUGACCCACGGUCAUCUAACCUUCAAAGGCUACCAGCAGACUUGUCCUUACCCGACGAUCCUCAUGAUGAGGACGAAGAAGAAGAUCCGAUCUUCAUGGCCAAUGAUCCAAAAGAUGCCAUGAUUGCAUCUUUAAAAAGACAAAUUGAUGAAAAAGAUAGAGAUAUAAUUAAUCUCUACAAAAAAAUGGAUGAAGUUAUGGGGCUGCUACUGAAUGUGCAAUCCAAUCUUGAAAAUCAACGAAACCAAACUGCAUUGCAGUCAGAUGAAGUGCGUCCAAAUGUAUCACAAUCAAUGAAUACACUACAGCCAGCUUAGACGACGCCUUCUGUUGCACUGCAGCCGACACCAGCGAAACCACAAAACCAUCAAGGCAAUUUUCUUAUGACGAAGGAAGAGAUCCAGGAGUUGAUCUCAUCGCAAGUCAAACAAAUAAUCGAUGAGGCGGCUCCAAAAUGAAAAAGCAGGGGCACCCAUACCCUAUAGAAUACGAUAGCAUUCUAUUUCCUGAUGGAUAUAUCGUCCCCAAAUUCAGGACAUUUUAUGGAAUAGGUAACCCUGAUCAACACUUGGCAUACUUUAGAGCCACAUGUGGAAAUACCGGAGGCAAUAGUGCACUCCUCUUACGCCAAUUCCCUCAAAGUCUUUCAGGGGUGGCAUUCGAGUGGUACUAUUCACUCGAUGACGAAUCCAUCACGACGUGGGACGAUAUGGAGGAAGCUUUUAGAACUAAGUUUGCCACCAUCAGCGAUAAGAUUACGAUAGCUGGCCUAGUUGCCACAAAGAGAAGGAAGGACGAAUCGAUGCUGGAAUACAUCACACGGUGGCGAAAUCUGAGCAUCAGAUGUGAACAACCUAUUGAACAGACUCAAACUGUUGGUUUGCUUAUGGGUAAUGUUCAUAAUUGGAUGGCUCCAUUCCUAUGUACUACCAAGUGUACUACAUUUCAGGAUUUAAUAUUAAAUGUUUCUAUAUUGGAGAGAACAGAUCCACAUGCCCUGAUGAAUCUCCAAACUCAAAAGCCCAAACAGAAAGAAGGCAAAAGAGUCGAAGUAAAGACCGAACACUUUAAGGCGACACAUACUAAUGUGGUGGAGAAAAGAAAGAAAGCUAUGACCACUAUAGCGGAGCAGGCAUCCCUGAAGUCUGUAUUACGUGGAAAUAACUUUAAAGGACUCACCUUUGAAGAAAGAAAGAAUAAAAUUUAUCUCUUCAAAAAGGAUAAGGUGAAAAAAAUCUUUAGAGAUGCCAUAAAGUGUGGCCUUCAACUGCCGAAACCAAGAAAUUAGAAGUUGUUGGGAAAACAAAUGACCCAAACUAUUGCUUGUAUCACCAAAUGAUUAGUCACCCCAUUGAAGAUUGUUGGGCAUUCAAAGAUUGGGUAGAAAAGCAAUAUAAAGCCGGCAUGAUCACCCUUUCUCAAGCUCUGCUUAUAGAUCUGCCAACUGAAAAUACAAAUUUUGUGAAUAUAAAAGAUGAAAAUAACGAAGAAGAGGAUAUGCCUCCUCCUGAAUUUUGGAAUAUCUUCCUACCGAAAAAGACUCACAAAAUGUUGAAAUAUUUGAACACAGUCUCUGGAAUUACAUGGAGAAGUCCAUUGCAUCCAGAAGUUUAGAGUUCCUCAUCUGAAAUAGCACAUAGUCCUCCUACUUUAGAAAAGCAAAAAAUAAUCUUAAAGGAGAGGGUACGAAAAUUCGUGAAACUAGCUCAGCCUGAACACAAAAAGCGGGAUGAAAUACUAGCAGUAAUAAUACGAGACUUCAUAGUAAAAGCAUUGGAAAAUGCAGAGAGUAAAAAGAAGUCUCAAGAAACUGAGAAUAUGGUACUCUUUUGGCCUGAAACAUGUAGAGUCAUCUCAGCCAGAAGUGAUGAGGACGAUCUCCCAGACCGGCAGAGAACGUAUGACAGCCAAAAUCAAUUAGCACAAAUACAAGAGAUCAUGGCCUCGAAUUUCGAUAAAAUUAAUGAAAAAUUAUUAGAUCUGAAGAUACAACAGAACGUGAUGUUUUCCAUGAUAAUUGGAAUUGAGGCUAGGGUAGAGCAGGUUAUGAAAAUGGCACCCGCCCCUCAAGCAGUAUCCUCUGUUGGUGAAAAUACCAUGAUACCUCGACCGCUAUGUCGUUAAACUGAACAAAUAUAGUCGACAAAAUGAGGCUAACAUGGGUAGUGGGGCCAUACUCAUUAAACCAUGUAGUUGAAAAGCAUAUCACUUCUCAAUUGAUCUAAAAAAAAAAAUAGAAAAAAAAAGAAAAAGGUGGAGGACAUGUUAUCUAAAUUUUUUAGAUUAUAUGGGUAAAAUAUGAGCCACCAGCGAACUUGAUUGUCCACAUCGAACUUCAAGGUAAAAUUGCAAAAAAUUUUCGGCUGUGGUAUAACCCCACAGGCAAAAUUGGGAUCCCCGCUGUGAGAAAACCUUUUGAGGUUCACAGGCAAAAGUUAGGGGAAGGUAUCUGAUGAAAACCCAUUCGGGCACCAGAGUAGCCAAAAUAUAUUUUGCCUAUGACGGAAUGCUAACUUACCUUAGGGUUUGUUAUGUGCAGCAAUUUCGAUUGCUUCUCGAGGCAAAAUAAAUAAAAAUAAUCCAUAUUCCCUAUUACCCUAAAUAUAUUUUGCCUAUUACGGAAUGCUAACUCACCUUAGGGUCGGUUAGGCGCAGCAAUUUUAAAUGCUUCUCGAGGCAAAAUAAAAAAAAAAAAUCCAUAUUCCCUAAAACCCAAGAUGUAUCUUGCCUAUGACAGAAUGCUAACUCACCUUAGGGUCGGCUAUGCGCAGCAAUUUCGAUUGCUUCUCGAUGCAAAAUAAAUAAAAAAAAAAAGAAGGCAUAUUUCCUGAUAAAAAAAAGAAAAAAGUGGAGGACAUGUUGUCUAAAUUGUUUUAGAUAAUAUGGGUAAAAUAUGAGCCACCAGCGGACUUGAUUGUCCACAUUGGACUUCAAAGGUAAUGUCAGGCCCCGAGACCGCAACUAAUUUGGUCCGGUUCGGGCGCGUCGAACAGACGCCGGACGGACAGCACCUCCCCUGUUCGCCCAAGGCUCAACAACGAAAUUGUGUACAAGAAUUUACCCAGGAUAUUAAAUUCAAUACAUACACAAUCAACGGGCACAACCAGUGCCAACAUAAAAGAGCAAGUAAUCCACAAGUAAUACAAGUGAAAUAAAGAGAGAUCUACUAUCUAUUACAUCACAUAGCACUCUUUCAUUUAUAUUUACAUUUUUCCCCAAAAUGAAUGCUUGAUCAUUUCCAAAUACAUACUUAGCUCUUCCAAAAUAUAAAGCAUCUAGAUACAAAAGGGUACUCUAAUGCAUAGGAAAGCUAGAAAUGUAACUACUGCUCGGGCGCGAUGCCCUUGCCGUGAUCCUCGCCCGGUGCUCCCCCACUCGAUCCUGUAAUGAAGUGGGGUGAGAACUAUCUUCCAUAGUUCCCAGUGGGCUCGGCCGCCGACUCCGCCGAUCUCCCCACUAGGUCCAAGUGGGCAAAGCAAUAACAGAUAGAUAGAUAGAUAUAUAUCUAAAACAGUAAAUGACAUAAUAGAUAAGCUAUGCUACUAUGCCCAUAAUCAGAGAUAUGAAUGCAUGCAUCAUUUAGUAAAGGUUUACUAUCAAGCUACUAUGUCCAAUUCAACCAUGUUCAACGACGGUUUAUUCUUUUAUUUACCCAAUCCAUGGCGAAUCCCUUGAGGUCGCCCUCGACUCACAUCUUCAUCCCGUUGGGUAAGGAAACUCAACUCGGUCUCAGACCCGGGAUUGUCUGCGGACAUCAACUCUGUCCUGAUCGCCCGACACUCCGGAGUACUCGAUGACAUGGAUGGCUAUACCACCCCGGAUGGCUAUACCACCGCAAUAACAGACCGUGAGCUUGAUCUAUCCUCUCCACUUGAGGACACCCUACGAACUAGGGCAAACAAUUCUCCCGGAACUCAACUAUUCUGACAAUCAUGCAUAUGUGCUACUAUACUAAGUUCUUUGUUCACGAGUCAUUCACUAGGGAAUUCUCCUAUCCCGAUGUUCACGUACCACAAGUGUCAUAAUACACUACAUUAGAUGCCACUCGUUUUGUUCACAUAUCAAUUAUAUGCCACUCGUUAUGUCACUAAUCAUCAUCGAGUUCAUCUCUUUCCUUUAGCACUAUAGGAUUCAAUGUUCCGACCCAAUCCUUACCUAUCAAAUUUACUAAGUAUUCGACUCACACUAGGUUAUUCCUUAGAAAGCAUAAGAAAAAGGUAUUACAAUGCAAUCCUACUAUGCAUAUGCAAGAGUUGAAAUUUCAUAUGUUCUAAAACAUAAUAAGGAGUUCAGUUACUUCGGGAUGACACCCCCGACCUUUCGAAGAUGAUUUACGUUGUAGAGGUCCUAAGAAUGAUCCUCGGCACUUGCUUCGAUGCUAUCUCGGCCGCUUAGGUCGAAACGAAGCCCGCUCGGCCUUGCUUUGCCGAUAACUUUACACCCGCUCGACGAAUCGCGAUUCCGACUUCGCCAACGCGUUUAGACACCUAUCAAUUAGGUUUAGACACUAUCAAUUGUGAUCAAACCCUUCUAGUAAGCAAAUCUCCAAUUUGGGUGCCCUAGGUUUGCAUCUAUGCUAAGCCAUCACUUCAAAAACCCUAGAUUCUAGCUACAAGCAAGUGUUGAACAUGCUAAAGGUCCAUUUGACCUAUUUACAAAGCUAGAAACUCAAAACCCUAGGUUUCCACCAUUAGGGUUUAGAAGCUUACCUCUUGGCUAGCUCCAAUGGAAGGAAGAAGAAGAGGAGAAGAUGGUGAUGGUGAUCUCCUUCAAGUUCCCCUCCUACUUAUUUUUCUUCUCCUUCUUCUUCUUUUCUUUCUUCUUCUUCUCCUUCUUCUUCUUUUCUAGAGAGAGAGAGAGAGAGAGAAAUGAGAGAGUUGGGAGGGAAAUAAGAGAGGGAGAGAGGGUUAUUUGCCCUCUAUACCCCUUACUAAUGGCAUAAUUGCAGCCAAGCCCCUUCACUUUGUCUUUCUCAAACUGCUCUGCCUGGGCAGUUUUCGCGUACGGGGACCGGUCCUUCUACGGGAGGACCGGUCCUUCUACGGGAGGACCGGUCCUUCUACGGGAGGACUGGUCCUCGAGAGCUUCUCUCGCAGGCUGGAGAUCCCAGCUAGCUUCCACGCACACGGGGACCGGUCCCUCCCGCCAGGGAUCAAUUCCCGAGAGCAAUGCUCUCGCAGGACACUUACGGGAACCGGUCCUCCACUGGGAGACCGGUCCCCACAGGGACUCCUCAUUGCUUAUGGGGACCAGUCUCUCCCGCGAGGGACCGGUCCCCGAGAGCAUUACUUGUGCGCACAGAGUUUUCUGCCGCACACCAGCUUACGGGAACCAGUCCCUCAUACCAGGGACCGGUCCCCGAGAGCUCGAUCUGCAGAAUUGCAGGUUUGCACUAUUUGCUCUCGUGGACUCCAACUCCAAUGCACUUUUUGGAUUUUAGACAUCUUCGGCUUUUCCGAAGCAUACGCACUCGACAACUAAUCGAUUCUUAACAAAGUCCAACUCUCGGAUUUCGAGAAUUCACUUCCUUACACAUAAAAUUGCAAAAACGCCCUCGGCUAUGGUAUAACCCCACAGGCAAAAUUGGGAUCCUCGCUGUGAGAAAAUCUUUUGAGGCUCACAGGCAAAAGUUAGGGGAAAAUAUCUGGUGAAAACCCAUUCGGGCAUCAGAGUAUCCAAAAUAUAUUUUGCCUAUGACGGAAUACUAACUCACCUUAGGGUCGGUUAUGCGCAGCAAUUUCGAUUGCUUCUCGAAGCAAAAUAAAAAAAAAAAAAAUUUUCUGAUAAAAAAAAAAGAAAGAAAGGUGGAAGACAUGUUAUCUAAAUUAUUUUAGAUAAUAUGAGUAAAAUAUGGGCUACCAAGUUUUUUAGAUAAUAUGGGUAAAAUAUGAGCUACCAGCGGAUUUCAUUGUCCACAUCGAAAUUCAAAGUAAAAUUACAAAAAAUUUCCGGCUGUGGUAUAACCCCACAAGCAAAAUUAGAAUCCCCGCUGUGAGAAAACCUAUCGAGGCUCACAGGCCAAAGUUAGGAGAAGGUAUCUGAUGAAAACCCAUUCGGGCACCAGAGUACCCAAAAAAAAUUUUGCCUAUGACAGAAUGCUAUCUUACCUGAGGGUUUGUUAUGCACAGCAAUUUCGAUUGCUUCUCGAGGCAAAAUAAAUAAAAAUAAUCCAUAUAUCCUAUUACUUAAAAUAUAUUUUGCCUAUGACGGAAUGCUAACUCACCUUAGGGUUGGUAAUGCGCAGUAAUUUUAAAUGCUUCUCGAGGCAAAAUAAAUAAAAAUAAUCCAUAUUCCCUAAAACCCGAGAUAUAUCUUGCCUAUGACGGAAUGCUAACUCACCUUAGGGUCGGUUAUGCGCAGCAAUUUCGAUUGCUUCUCGAGGCAAAAUAAAUAAAAAAAAAAGAAUGCAUAUUUCCUUAUAAAAAAAAGAAAAAAGUGGAGGACAUGUUGUCAAAUUGUUUUAGAUAAUAUGGGUAAAAUAUGAGCCACCAGCGGACUUGAUUGUCCACAUUGGACUUCAAGGGUAUUGUCACGCCCCGAGACUGCAACUAAUUUGGUCCGGUUCGGGCGCGUCGAACAGACGCCGGACGGACAGCACCUCCCCUGUUCGCCCAAGGCUCAACAACGAGAUUGUGCACAAGAAUUCACCCAGGAUAUUAAAUUCAAUACAUACACAAUCAACGGGCACAACCAGUGCCAACAUAAAAGAGCAAGUAAGCUACAAGUAAUACAAGUAAAAUAAAGAGAGAUUUACUAGCUAUUACAUCACAUAGCACUCUUUCAUUUACAUUUACAUGUUUCCCCAAAAUGAAUACAUGAUCAUUUCCAAAUACAUACUUAGCUCUUCCAAAAUAUAAAGCAUCUAGAUACAAAACGGUACUCUAAUGCAUAGGAACGCUAGAAAUGUAACUACUGCUCGGGCGCGAUGCCCUUGCCGUGAUCCUCGCCCGGUGCACCAGCACUCGACCCUGUAAUGAAGUAGGGUGAGAACUAUCUUCCAUAGUUCCCAGUAGGCUCGGCCGCCGACUCCGCCGAUCUCCCAACUAGGUCCAAGUGGGCAAAGUAAUAACAGAAAGAUAGAUAGAUAGAUAUAUAUUUAAAACAGUAAAUGACAUAAUAGAAAAGCUAUGCUAAUAUGCCCAUAAUCAGAGAUAUGAAUGCAUGCAUCAUUUAGUAAAGGUUUACUAUCAUGCUACUAUGUCCAAUUCAACCAUGUUCAACGACGGUUUAUUCUUUUAUUUACCCAAUCCAUGGCGAAUCCCUUGGGGUCGCCCUCGACUCAUAUCUUCAUCCCGUUGGGUAAGGAGACUCAACUCGCUCUCAGACCCUGGAUUGUCUGCGGACAUCAACUCUGUCCUGAUCGCCCGACACUCCGGAGUACUCGAUGACAUGGAUGGCUAUACCACCCCGGAUGGCUAUACCGCCCCAAUAACAGACCGUGAGCUUGAUCUAUCCUCUCCACUUGAGGACACCCUACGAACUAGGGCCAACAAUUCUCUCGGAACUCAACUAUUCCGACAAUCAUGCAUAUGUGCUUAGCUAUACUAAGCUCUUUGUUCACGAGUCAUUCACUAGGGAAUCCUCCUAUCCCUAUAUUCAUGUACCACUAGUGUCAUAAUACACUACAUUAGAUGCCACUCGUUUUGUUCACAUAUCAAUUAUAUGCCACUCGUUAUGUCACUAAUCAUCAUCGAGUUCAUCUCUUUCCUUUAGCACUAUAGGAUUCAAUGUUCCGACCCAAUCCUUACCUAUCAAAUUUACCAAGUAUUCGACUCACACUAGGUUAUUACUUAGAAAGCAUGAGGAAAAGAUAUUACAAUACAAUCCUACUAUGCAUCUGCAAGAGAUGAAAUUUCAUAUGUUCUAAGACAUAAUAAGGAGUUUAGUUGCUUCGGGAUGACACCCCCCACCUUUCGAAGAUGAUUUACGUCGUAGAGGUCCUAAGAAUGAUCCUCGGCACUUGCUUCGAUGCUAUCUCGGCCGCUUAGGUCGAAACGAAGCCCGCUCGGCCUUGUUUUGCCGAUAACUUUACACCCGCUCGACGAAUCGCGAUUCCGACUUCGCCAACGCGUUUAGACACCUAUCAAUUAGGUUUAGACACUAUCAAUUGAGAUCAAACCCUUCUAGUAAGCAAAUCCCCAAUUUGGGUGCCCUAGGUUUGCAUCUAUGCUAAGCCAUCACUUCAAAACCCUAGAUUCUAGCUACAAGCAAGUGUUGAACAUGCUAAAGGUCCAUUUGACCCAUUUACAAAGCUAGAAACUCAAAACCCUAGGUUUCUACCAUUAGGGUUGAGAAGCUUACCUCUAGGCUAGCUCCAAUGAAAGGAAGAGGAACAGGAGAAGAUAGUGACGGUGAUCUCCUUCAAGUUCCCCUCCUUCUUCUUUUUGUUUUCCUUCUUCUUCUUUCCUUUCUUCUUCUUCUCCUUCUUCUUCUUUUCUAGAGAGAGAGAGAGGGAGAGAAAUGAGAAAGUUGGGAGGGAAAUGAGAGAGGGAGAGAGGGUUAUUUGCCCUCUAUACCCCUUACUAAUGGCAUAAUUGCAGCCAAGCCCCUCCACUUUGUCUUUCUCAAACUGCUCUGCCUGGGCAGUUUUCACGUACGGGGACCAGUCCCUCUACGGGAGGACCGGUCCUCAAGAGCUUCCCUCGCAAGCUGGAGCUCCCAGCCAGCUUCCACGCACACGGGGACCGGUCCCUCCCGCCAGGGAUCGGCCCUCGAGAGCAAUGCUCUCGCAGGACACUUACGGGAACCGGUCCUCCACUGGGAGACCGGUCCCCACAGGGACUCCUCAUUGCUUUCGGGGACCGGUCUCUCCCGCCAGGGACUGGUCCCCGAGACCAUUACUUGUGCGGGCAGAGUUUUCUGCCGCACACCAGCUUACGGGAACCAGUCCAUCAUACCAGGGACCGGCCCCCGAGAGCUCGAUCUGCAGAAGUGCAGGUUUGAACUAUUUGCUCUCGUGGACUCCAACUCCAAUGCACUUUUUGGAUUUUAGACAUUUUCAGCUUUUUCGAAGCAUACAAACUCGACAACUAGUCGAUUCUGAAAGAAUUCAACUCUCGGAUUUCGAGAAUUCACUUCCUUACAGAUAAAAUUGCAAAAACGCCCUCGGCUGUGGUAUAACCCCACAGGCAAAAUUGGGAUCCCCGCUAUGAGAAAAUCUUUCGAGGCUCACAGACAAAAGUUAGAGGAAGAUAUCUGGUGAAAACCAUUCGGGCAUCAGAGUACCCAAAAUAUAUUUUGCCUAUGACGGAAUGCUAAGUCACCUUAGGGUCGGUUAUGCGCAGCAAAUUUCGAUUGCUUCUCGAGGCAAAAUAAAUAAAAAAAAUAAAUUUUCUGAUAAAAAAAAAGAAAGAAAGGUGGGGGAGAUGUUAUCUAAAUUAUUUUAGAUAAUAUGAGUAAAAUAUGAGCUAUCAAGUUUUUUAGAUAAUAUGGGUAAAAUAUGAGCUACCAGCGAACUUGAUUGUCCACACCGAACUUCAAGGUAAAAUUGCAAAAAAUUUCCGGCUGUGGUAUAACCCCACAGGCAAAAUUAGAAUCCCCGCUGUGAGAAAACCUUUCGAGGCUCACAGGCAAAAGUUAGGGGAAGGUAUAUGAUGAAAACCCAUUCGUGCACCAGAGUACCCAAAAUAUAUUUUGCCUAUGACGGAAUGCUAACUUACCUUAGGAUUUGUUAUGCGCAGCAAUUUCGAUUGCUUCUCGAGGCAAAAUAAAUAAAAAUAAUCCAUAUUCUCUAUUACCCAAAAUAUAUUUUGCCUAUGACGGAAUGCUAACUCACCUUAUGGUCGGUUAUGCGCAGCAAUUUUAAAUGCUUCUCGAGGCAAAAUAAAUAAAAAUAAUCCAUAUUCUCUAAAACCCAAGAUAUAUCUUGCCUAUGACGGAAUGCUAACUCACCUUAGGGUCGGUUAUGCGCAGCAAUUUCGAUUGCUUCUCGAGGCAAAAUAAAUAAAAAAAAAGAAUGCAUAUUUCCUGAUAAAAAGAGAAAAAAGUGGAGGACAUGUUGUCUAAAUUGUUUUAGAUAAUAUGGGUAAAAUAUGAGGCACCAGUGGACUUGAUUGUCCACAUUGGACUUCAAGGGUAAUGUCACGCCUCGAGACCGCAACUAAUUUGGUCUGGUUCGGGCGCGUCGAACAGACGCCGGACGGACAGCACCUCCCCUGUUCGCCCAAGGCUCAAUAACGACAUUGUGUACAAGAAUUCACCCAGAAUAUUAAAUUCAAUACAUACACAAUCAACGGGCACAACCAGUGCCAACAUAAAAGAGCAAGUAAUCCACAAGUAAUACAAGUGAAUAAAGAGAGAUCUACUAGCUAUUACAUCACAUAGCACUCUAUCAUUUACAUUUACAUGUUUUCCCAAAAUGAAUACAUGAUCAUUUCCAAAUACAUACUUAGCUCUUCCAAAAUAUAAAGCAUCUAGAUACAAAAGGGUACUCUAAUGCAUAGGAAAGCUAGAAAUGUAACUACUGCUCGGGCGCAAUGGCCUUGCCGUGAUCCUCGCCCGGUGCGCCCACACUCGACCCUGUAAUGAAGUGGGGUGAGAACUAUCUUCCAUAGUUCCCAGUGGGCUCGGCUGCCGACUCCGCUGAUCUCCCUACUAGGUCCAAAUGGGCAAAGCAAUAACAGAUAGAUAGAUAUAUUUCUAAAACAGUAAAUGACAUAAUAGAAAAGCUAUGCUACUAUGCCCAUAAUCAGAGAUAUGAAUGCAUGCAUCAUUUAGUAAAGGUUUACUAUCAUGCUACUAUGUCCAAUUCAAUCAUGUUCAACGACGGUUUAUUCUUUUAUUUACCCAAUCCAUGGCGAAUCCCUUGGGGUCGCCCUCGACUCACAUCUUCAUCUCGUUGGGUAAGGAGACUCAACUCGCUCUCAGACCCGGGAUUGUCUGCGGACAUCAACUCUGUCCUGAUCGCCCGACACUCCGGAGUACUCGAUGACAUGGAUGGCUAUACCACCCCGGAUGGCUAUACCACCCCAAUAACAGACCGUGACCUUGAUCUAUCCUCUCCACUUGAGGUCACCCUACGAACUAGGGCAAACAAUUCUCCCGGAACUCAACUAUUCCGACAAUCAUGCAUAUGUUCUUAGCUAUACUAAAUUCUUUGUUCACGAGUCAUUCACUAGGGAAUCCUCCUAUCCCUACGUUCACGUACCACUAGUGUCCUAAUACACUACGUUAGAUGCCACUCGUUUUGUUCACAUAUCAAUUAUAUGCCACUCGUUAUGUCACUAAUCAUCAUCGAGUUCAACUCUUUCCUUUAGCACUAUAGGAUUCAAUGUUUCGACCGAAUCCUUACCUAUCAAAUUUACCUAGUAUUCGACUCACACUAGGUUAUUACUUAGAAAGCAUAAGGAAAAGGUAUUACAAUGCAAUCCUACUAUGCAUAUGCAAGAGAUGAAAUUUCAUAUGUUCUAAGACAUAAUAUGGAGUUUAGUUGCUUCGGGAUGACACCCCCCCACCUUUUGAAGAUGAUUUACGUCGUAAAGGUCCUAAGAAUGAUCCUCGGCACUUGCUUCGAUGCUAUCUCUGCCGCUUAGGUCGAAACGCAGCCCGCUCGGCCUUGUUUUGCCGAUAACUUUACACCCGCUCGACGAAUCGCGAUUCUGACUUCGUCAACGCGUUUAGACACCUAUCAAUUAAGUUUAGACACUAUCAAUUGAGAUCAAACCCUUCUAGUAAGCAAAUCCCCAAUUUGGGUGCCCUAGGUUUGCAUCUAUGCUAAGAUCGGAUCUCCAUUCGAAGAGUUGGGAUUACCAUCUUUGGAUCCCAAAAUUCAAAGAUCGAAACAUUUACACAGUUUACCUGGAAAUCGUACAAGUUGUGAACGAACAUCGAUCUUAGAUCCCAAAACUUCACUACCANNNNNNNNNNNNNNNNNNNNNNNNNNNNNNNNNNNNNNNNNNNNNNNNNNNNNNNNNNNNNNNNNNNNNNNNNNGUGAUGGUGAUCUCCUUCAAGUUCCCCUCCUUCUUCUUUUUCUUCUCCUUCUUCUUCUUUUCUUUCUUCUUCUUCUCCUUCUUCUUCUUUUCUAGAGAGAGAGAGAGAGGGAGAGAAAUGAGAGAGUUGGGAGGGAAACGAGAGAGGGAGAGAGGGUUAUUUGCCCUCUAUACCCCUUACUAAUGGCAUAAUUGCAGCCAAGCCCCUCCACUUUGUCUUUCUCAAACUGCUCUGCCUGGGCAAUUUUUGCGCACGGGGACCGGUCCCUCUACUGGAGGACCGGUCCUCGAGAGCUUCUCUCGCAGGCUGGAGCUCCCAGCCAGCUACCACGCACAGAGGGACCGGUCCCUCCCGCCAGGGACCGGUUCCCGAGAGCAAUGCUCUCGCAGGACACUUACGGGAACCAGUCCUCCACUGGGAGACCGGUCCCCACAGGGACUCCUCAUUGCUUACGGGGACCGGUCUCUCCCGCCAGGGACCGGUCCCCGAGAGCAUUACUUGUGCGCGCAGAGUUUUCUGCCGCACACCAGCUUACGGGAACCAGUCCCUCAUACCAGGGACCGGUCCCCGAGAGCUCGAUCUGCAGAAGUGCAGGUUUGCACUAUUUGCUCUCGUGGACUCCAACUCUAAUGCACUUUUUUGGAUUUUAUACAUCUUUGGCUUUUCCGAAGCAUACGCACUCGACAACUAGUCGAUUCUGAACGAAAUCCAACUCUCGGAUUUCGAGAAUUCACUUCCUUACAGAUAAAAUUGCAAAAACGCCAUCGGCUGUGGUAUAAUCCCACAGGCAAAAUUGGGAUCCCCGCUGUGAGAAAAUCUUUCGAGGCUCACAGGCAAAAGUUAGGGGAAGAUAUAUGGUGAAAACCCAUUCGGGCAUCAGAGUACCCAAAAUAUAUUCUGCCUAUGAACGGAAUGCUAACUCACCUUAGGGUCGGUGAUGCGCAGCAAUUUCGAUUGCUUCUCGAGGCAAAAUAAAUAAAAAAAAAUAUUUUCUGAUAAAAAAAAGAAAGAAAGGUGGGGGACAUAUUAUCUAAAUUAUUUUAGAUAAUAUGAGUAAAAUAUGAGCUAUCAAGUUUUUUAGAUAAUAUGGGUAAAAUAUGAGCUACCAGCAGACUUGAUUGUCCACAUCGAACUUCAAGGGUAAAAUUGUAAAAAGUCCGCGGCUGUGGUAUAAUCCCACAGGCAAAAUUGGGAUCCUCGCUAUGAGAAAACCUUUCGAGGUUCACAGGCAAAAGUUAGGGAAAGGUAUUUGGUGAAAACUCAUAUGGUCGCCAGACUUCCCAAAGUUCUAUUUUGUCCCAUGACGGAAUGUUAACUCACCUUAGGGUGGAUUAGCGCGGCAAUUUCGAUUGCUUCUCGAAGAUAAAAUAAAUCUAUAUUCACUAACACCCAAUCAACUGCCAUGUCACUAAACUGAGCACUCUUAUAUCGACCGCCAUGUCACUAAACUGAACACAUUUAUAUCGACCGCCAUGUCACUAAACUGAGCACAUUUAUAUUGACUGUCAUAUCGUUAAACUAUACAAUCUAUAUCCAAUCGACCGCCAUGUCAUUAAACUGAGCACUUCUAUAUCGACCGCCAUGUCAUUAAACUGAACAACCCUUAUCCAAUCGACCGCCAUAUCACUAAACUGAGCACUCUUAUAUCGACCGCCAUGUCACUAAACUGAGCACAUUUAUAUCGACCGUUAUGUUACUAAACUAAGCACAUUUAUAUUUGACCAUCGUGUCAUUAAACUACACAAUCUAUAUCCAAUCGACCGUCAUGUCAUUAAACUGAGCAUUUUUAUAUUGACCGCCAUGUCGUUAAACUGAGCAACCUAUAUCCAAUCGACCGUCAUGUCAUUAAACUGAGCAAUCAAAUUGAAUGCAUAUGGUGCGGGUUAAAAAAAAUAAAAAAAAACUUUUUAAAGGUGGGAAGAAACAAAAAGACAAAAAAAAAGAAGGUACGAUCAAAGCAAAGAUUGAGCAAAAAAAAUAAAAAAAAUGGUAAGAGUAGGAACAAAAAAAAAAGGGGUCAAAAUAAGGACAGAGAGAAAAAAAAAAAAAGAAGAAGAUGGACUCGAAAAAAAAAAAAAAAAGAAUGAAAAGAGGGGCACCUUUUCGUCGCGCGUGAAACUCUUACGUCGAAAAGGUGGCACUACAACAAAUAGAGCUUCUUCUAACAGUUUUUUUACCAGCAAUUAGGCUAACUGCCGCUAAAAGUAUAUUAUACCAGCGCUUUUUAUUUUUAUUGCAGCAGUUACUAAACCGCUGGUAUAUAUGAUGAUAAUUCUUAAAUUUAUAAAUAAUAUUGGACCAAUGGAAUUAUAUUUUAUUAACUUUUUCAAUUUCCAUCAAUUGGACCAUAGGCCAAUUCCCUUCUCCAUCGCGAGCUUCGAGCUCCACCACGAGCUCGAUCUCCACCACGAGCUCUCCAUCUCUGAGCUCUCCAUCUCUCUCUCUCUCUCUCUCUCUCUCUCUCUCUCUCUCUCAGGAGAGGGCUAGGGUAUUCGCGGGGGAGGCGGCGAAGCGGUCGCAGGAGAUAUCCAAGGAGGCGGCGAAGCGGUCGCAGGAGCUCACCAUGGGCGCCGCGUGCCUCUCUCAGGAGCUCGUCUCCGAGACGGCGAAGAAGUCGCGGGAGAUCGCGGCGGAGGCGACGAAGAAGGCCGAUCUCGUCCACUCCGAGGCCCUCCGCGCCGCGGGGCAGAUCAAAACCCUAGCAUCUGAUAUCCCCAUCCCCCCGAUCCCCCCGAUUCCCCCAAUCCCGUCCAUCUCCGCUGGAUCCGGAUCCGGAUCUCCCGCCGCCGAUGACGAGCUCAAGCAGUUCGGGGUCACGGAGGAGCUCAGGGAGUUCGUGAAGGGGAUCACGAUCAGCACCUUCCGCGAUUUUCCCAUGGAAGGUUUUGGUUUCAAUCGAUCUCUUCUCUUUGUUUGAUUUUAGGUUCACGAUUGGAUUCCGGCGGUGUUUGGAUCGAAGAAAUGGCGUAUAUAGAUUAGUGUCAUUUGAAGUUGUUAAUUUCAUUGUGUUAGUAAUGUAGUGAGUUCUCUUGCGUUCCUAUUGUUAUUGAAGUUGUUAGGAAUUUUUUUCCUGUUCCUCGUUGGAAUUUGAUGUUGUUUGCCCAAUUUAAUGCGGAGUGUUCUGUUCUUUUCAUGUGUAGAUGAACCAGAAAUAUCUGAGGUUCCUACAGUGUCAAAUGUUCGGCAGGAUCUUAGCGAAUGGCAAGCGAGGCAUGCUACUCUUGUUCUCUCAACUGUUAAGGUUAGUCUUAUCAUCAGCCUUUAGUUGAUUUUAUCUAGUUUUCUGUUUACUUUGAAUAGUGUUUUGCUUAACUUGGUUCCUGAAGCUGAUAGACAAUAUUAUGAACUUGAUGUUUCUCAUGUAAACUAAACAUGGUUAUAUGUAGAUAUAUGUUUAUAGGAUUUUAUUUGAUGUUCCUGAUCUAAAUUAAAAUAGUUUACAUGAAGUCGCAGUUCUAGAUAAGAUUUUUGGAUCAAAUAUUUUCUCUUCUGAUUGCCUUGCUUCUGAUUGCCUUGGUUGUAGAAACUUGUUUUCACCUAGUAACUGAUCCUAUAACUUAAUGCAAGUCCCUUUCUUAUGCUAACUGAUCCAAUAACUCAAUGGCGUACCUUUAUCUGAACUUCGCCAACUACAUGAACAUAGAUAAAGGUUGCUGCUGAGCUGAAUGCUGGAAGAAAAUAGGUAUUUUUCUUUCCUUUGUAUUACACACUAGCACAUAUUGAAACCAAUCUGGCCAUAAUUAGCGCCCAAUUGGUAGAGAAGUCUGUCUACUCUGAAAAUCAGCAGCCGAACAUAUAAAAGUUCUAGGGUUUUUCCUCCAGCAGUUUGAAGCUGAAGUGAGCUUCUAUGCUUUAAAUUAGAAGAUCGAGUUUGUAGUUUCUCUUCUACCACAGGGGAAAGACGUUGAGGGUGAUUUCGCCUUUUUUUUCUAAAAGGAGUUAUGGAGAUGAUGUCGAGGGAGAUUUUGAUGAAACGGCUAUUAGAGCUUCUUUAAACAGUUAUAGUUGAAUAGUAUUUCUACAAAACCUCCAGCCCACUUAAACGGCCCUUAGAUUUGAUUUUUCUGUUUUCUAGCAUACUUUAUAUUAUAGUAAAAGGCAUAUAAUGGGAAUCAUGGUUAUCAUUUCACAAUGAUUAGUAUAGUUGUGCUUUAAUCAUCGGCUUGUAUUUACGGGUUCAUGGCUAAAAAAGGGGACAUAAGGAUAUUUCAUAGCAAGGAAAAGAAAAAAAAAAGUCAAAGUGGAUUAUCAGGGUGAACUUGACCUUAUUAGAUAUUUUUAAUAUUGGAUAGUGAAGGGCAAAGAUGUUCAAUCUUGAAAAAGAACAAGAUGUUUAAUUAGAAUUUAGAAACUCGAAGAGCUUUAUCUGUGCAUCAGUCCUUUUUUUUUUCUUUGAAAGGAUCUAUGCAUCAAUCUGCAAAAAAUUGUUUAAUGUCUCUAUACUAGUAUUGUGAAUUGUUUAAUCUUCUUGUUCGCAUAGUUUGCCAAUUGGAGAGAGAAACUUACAAUUUCCUUUGUUUUGCCUUGUUGUCCUAGUUGAUUAGGCUGUAAUCUUAUUUGCACAGUUUCUCCAUAUUACUAUAGCAGUAAUCUUAUUUAACUUGAGAAUUACCCUUUUCAUAUAUAUUAUUUGAGUUGGUGGACUUGCUCUUAGAUGUAGUGUUAGGAUUGGAUGAUGAUAGUGAUGAUAUCUCAUCUAAUUGCUUCUUCAUAUAUAUUAUUUGAGUUGGUGGACUUGCCGAACGUCUAGCUGAUGCUGGUUGGUCUGCUGGUUAGAACAGUAAAUUGGGAGUUUGCAAUUGGCUUUUAUGCUUUGCAUAGAAAAGGAAAAAGAUAGCACAAAAAAAUCUGGACAUCCUUCCAACACUCAAGGCGGACAAUAUAUAAGUUGGAUUUCAUAGCCUAAAAAGAUUGUGGGUUUUAGUUAUUGAUUGUCUAGAAGCUCAAGUAAUCUCUCUCUCUCUCUCUCUCUCUCUCUCUCUCUCUCUCUUUUGUUUUGCAUGUGAUGGAAUGGUUUUUGAUAUUGCAUUUGGGCAUUAAUUAGUGAGAUGUAAAUCUUCUUUAACUUGGUUCCAAUUCGAAAGAACUUAUUUGUAAGGUAACCACGUAUAGAUUGUUUCCUCAAUAAAAACUAGUUUCACUAACUCUUGUGUAAAUUUUUUGGUGCAGAUUGAUCUUAGGCGGGCUAAUAACUGUGAAAUAAUUCUCACAAAAGUCAAGAUGCCACUGCCUGUUCGAUCAUCUACAUGCUCAUCUCUUUUAAAUUUGUUUCGAAACUGAAAUUUAGUUGAAGUUAAAAGUAAUCGGCGCGGUAAAGUUCCUGCAUGUUCAUUUAUACUUUGGAAUGAAUUACUAUCCUAGGAAGAGUUAGUAAAAUUCAGCUUUGGACUGAUUGGUUUGAUAAUUUUUGUUCUUGUUCUUGAGUUUGUACUAAAGCAUGCUUGGUUGUUCCACUGUAAUUUUGUCGUCUCAUUCUCUGUAAGGUUAAUGUUGAUAGAAUGCAAUUAUAUAUAUUUAUGAUCUUAAUCUUUUCACUUCUUACGUUGGAGUACGCGAUCUCUGUGCCUUUGCCGUACCUUUGAGAUGAUCAUAUUUAAUUACGUAACGAAAUCGUAACUCUAUGACUAAAUUUCUGUUAAGUAGUCCAAGUACUAGUCGAUGCAAGGGAGUAUAGUAUCAGAUUCACACUGAUUAGUACACUAGAAUUGAAUGAUAUGUAGGUUACAUCAGAUUUGAGGUUCUAAAUUUUGUUAUACCCAGUUCAAAUGUGUCAAACUUUAUUUUGAACUGGAUAUUCUACAAAAUCCAGACAUUUUGUUGAUAAAAGUGUGGUUCUUUAAGCAUGUUAGUUCCUGUACUGAUCUUGUGUUGCAUGAAAACAUGUUCUGCUUUCAAAUUGACCCAUAGUUCUUAUUCUUUAACUAACUGGAUCCUCGAUAACAAAUUUCUUAUUCAUCACUACACCAACUGACUCUCAUUCACUUCAGCCUCUUGGUAUUAGAAUGGUUUUGGAACUCCUUAAUGUUAACCGAAGCUUUCUUCUACGAAACUUCGUUAGUAGUGAAUCGUUUCUAGAUCCAAAUGGUUUACAAAUGCCUAUGAGCUAUUCAUGUUCAAGCAUAAGAAUCAAAACACAAUUAUAUAUAUUUAUGUAUGCACCUAAUCACUGCUGUUUAUAAUGUUCCAAUCCAAUUUCUACUUUUGUUAUUCUAGAAGUUAGAGAUUCCUCCUUUUAUUAGUGUUUAGAAAGAUCCUGGGAGUUCCUUAUUAGUCAAAAUAUGGAUGUAGAUAGAUAGAUAGAUAGAUAAAUCUAUCUUUGCUUGUUUCUUCUAUAGUCCAAGGCUGAAUAUAGCAGAAAAACUAAACCUAUGAUUAGGUGAUCAAUCUGGGGCAGGUCUUCUAAUUAUAAGAACUACACCUAUGAUUAGGUGAUCAAUCUGCCUAUGAGUUCCUUAUUAAUAUUGAGAUAAUCGUUAGUGUAUUUUUCCAAUAGUUCUAUUUGAACUUGGUUUUUUAGUAUAUUCUAUAAGGUUUUAGAUUUAGGUUUUGUUUGAUGAUAAAAUAGUUGAAGUGAUGCUUUGUCAACUUUUCAUUUAUCAACAACAAGUAAACUUUUAUCAGUAACAAAGUAAAUUCUGUUAUUUGUGAUGCUAAUUAUUAACUAUCAGUUAUUUCCAUAUCAAAAUAGCUUUAAAUUUGCUUAUUGUAUGUCGGUGAAAACUGGUAAAAUUAUUAUUGUUAUCAUUUUUAUCAAACCAAAUAUUGCUUGAUAUGUUUCAAUAGUGUGUAAACUGCAUCUUAAUAGUGGUGAAUCUAGUCAAUAACAUAUCUACUUCUCAUGAAUUCUGCUACCAUUUUUGACUUGCUUUUCGCCAGUCUAUGUCGUAUCUACUCAUGAAAAUCUGGUGCCAUUUUUAACUAUUUAUUUUCUACAGCUGCAGGAUUGGAAAGUUAUGUGGAGGCACUCUCUAAGAAAUCUGAUAGUGAAUUCAAUGUAUGAACUUAUGCUGCUUUUAAGCUAAUUUUCAGCUUACCUUUGCUAAAUGCCAUUAAUUUCUAAGUAAAUUAUAGGAUCUGAAGUUUUGUUAAUGCAUUUAAUUAUUUUAUGUCUUCAAUGAAAUCUUUAUUGUGGAAGUUCCCUCAAAAUUUCAUCUUUUAUGCCCUUCGGCGUGUACUUACCUCUAAUAUGUCUUUCAUGCUUCUUUUUAGGUGGUACUUACCCAAGCAUAUGGUCGAGAUUAUGCAUCGAAUUCGGUCCAUGUGUUUCAUGUGGGAAAGCUUAGGAUAAAGCUUCGUAAAGGGAGGUCUACAAAGGAAAAAGAGUCAUAUUCCGCAUCAAUGCAGGUAACAGCUUAUUCUGGUUUUUGAAUUAUUAGAACAAUGUGCUUAUUUCGCCUAAUUAAAUCAUGAAUUCUUUAUGCAUUCGAGAAAAAUGCAGCUUUUCAACUUAUUCUGCAGAAAUAAGCUCUCUCUCUCUCUCUCUCUCUCUCUCUCUCUCUCUCUCUCUACUGUUACCAUUUGGGUAUCAAUAACGUGUUGAUUGUUAGUAAAGAGAUCACAUUGGCAAAUCAGGUAGCAAUCAUGUGUUUUAGGGAAGUAGUUAUUCCUAUACAUCCAUUUUCAAUAACUUCGGCCAAUUGAAGUGUCCAAUGUUCUUGUUUAAGUUUUUUACAUGGAAGUAAGGUUUACUAAUUGCAGACGAGAGAUUUUUACAGCUCUGGGUGUGUGCGGAAGUUAGUAGAUUAUGAUUCUGUACAAAUUAGUCUUUGUUGUAAUUUACGUACCCAUUCCUAAUAAAUUUAGAAUUAAGAGCAUUGUUGCAUAUCAAUGAUAUUUGAACAUCAGUAGAGUAAAGAGUAUGAUAUAUUUUGGAAAUUCUCCUUGUCACUUAAUGCAAUCAUCCAAUAUGCAGGUAGAAUACAUGAUACAGAAGGUAGAUUAUGGCCCAAUCAGCCUUACAAACAUGUGAUUGCUAAGAGAAAUUGCCAGACAUAGAUUUUUAGUUAGUAAAACAUAUGAUGUGUUGGUGUCUGAUUAUUUUUAUUUUUCUGGCCAUCUCUAGCUCUGUGGGGUCCGAGGUGGUGGUAAUGCUGCAGCUAAGGCAGUGUUCUGGCAAUCUAAGAAAGGCUUGUUCUUCACCUUAGCUUACUGUUCUAAUUCCUAUUGUCUAAUCCAAAAUAUGGUCAACCAUCUUAUCAUCAAACAAAACCUAAAACAAAAAAUAAGUAGUCAAUUUUGGCGAUCUCACAAUUGGCUCGUAUUCCGAUCGAGUCAAGACCGACCCAAUAAGGGGACAAUAAAAGACUCGGAUCAAGUUUCUAACUUUGAGUUUAUACUUCUAAUUAAACAACUUAAACUGCUUAAUUUGACAUGACUAAUAAUUGGAACUAAAAAGAUUUAGUUCUUAUGGCUGUUAUGUAUACUUUUAUUUUUUGUUAUAUGUUACUUAUGAUAGAUUUUCUGUUGGAAUGAGCUUAUGCAAUUUGUAUGUUUCAAAUUUUUUUUGUUACAGAUUGAAGCAAAAAGCAGGAUUUGACGUUCGCAUUUCAAAAAUGUUUAGCUGGAGCUUUUCACUUUAGCCGGAGCUUAUGCAACUUCUAUGUUUCAAUUUUUUUUGUUACAGAUUGAAGCAAAAAGCAGAAUUUGGGGAUCAAAUAAAUUUUCUAUUGUAUUGAUUUCUAUUAAACAUAAAAAUUUGUUUUGUUGCAUUUUAUCACUGCUCUAGAUCAUUGUUUAUAGUUUUGUUUCAAGAAUGAUUGUAUCGUCUUAUUGCAAUUUAGUAAUAUGAUUCUAUUUUGUUCCGGAUACUACAGAUUGUAGGUUUUACAAUUAAUAUCAAAUGAAAACACCCUAUUGUAAUUUGUUGAUAUUAGUAUUUUUUUUUAAUAUUAGUUUCAAAUUGCCAGCGGUCAAAAACUGUCGGUAUAUGCGCCUUCUGCCAGUGUUUUUCUUGUACUUUUAGCGACGGUUUAAGAACUGUUGCUAUAGAUUAUCUUCACCGAUGGUCAGUAAAAGUGCUGGAAAAAGGUUAUACCAGCAAGAAUAUUGUAGCGGUCACCUGCACUUUUACCAGCAGUUUUAGAACUGCUGGAGCAAAUAUUACCAGCAGUUUUCGUAUUCUUUACCAGCAGUUUUGGCUGCUGGUAUAGGCCUAUUUUUUUGUAGUGUGGGGGGCAAUUUGUUUGAGUUAAAAAAAAAAAAGAAAAAAAAGGUAAAGUAAUCCUAAUCAAAACUGAUUAAAUUUGGACUCAUACAAUCCCAAUGGGUCUCAUGUUGACCGAGAAAUUUUGGGGCCAAUAAUUAUAAUUUAAAUACACAAUAGGCCCAUUCAUGAAUGAGAGUUGGUGGGCCUCAUAAAAGCCCUUUAAAAUUUUAAACCUGUACAAUAAUUCGGGCCUCAUUUCAGCUCAUUGAAUAUUAUCAUUUGUGCCCAACAAAUUUCAUUAAAGUGGGCCCGAUCAAUGACGACCCAUAUCCACACCCUAGAAAAUAUCUGUUAUCCUGACAAUCCUAUUCGAAAUUCGAUUUCAAACCACAACCAAUUCAAAAUUCGAUUUCAAAUUUUGAAUUCCCAACCAACUCCCAAAAUAUCUUCUAACCAAUCAUAACAACUGAUUCAAAAUUCGAUUUCGGAUGUCGAAUUCCCAACCAACUCCCAAAAACCUUCCAACAAACCACAACCGAUUCAAAAUUCGAUUUCGAAUUUCGAAUUCCCAACCAACUCCCAAAAUAUCUUCCAACCAACCACAACAACCGAUUCCACAACCAACUCCCAAAAUAUCUCCCAACCAACCACAUCCAUUCGAAUUUUGAAUACCUAUCCAUCCAACAACUGAUUGAAAAUUCACGAUUUUGAAUUUCGAAUCCCAACCAACUCCCAAAUAUCUCCCAACCAACCAUUCGAAUUUUGAAUAUCUAUCCAUCCAACAACCAAUUCAAAAUUUGAUUUCGAAUUUCGAAUCCCUAACCGACUCCUCAAAAUAUCUCUCGUCACCCCUUCUACUAUAAAAAUGAGAAUAGAAAU